UUUUUUUAAGAUCUUUCUUGCUUUCUCUUGUACCCUUUAUUUUAUUUUAUUAAUAGCUUUUUUUCUCUUUUAUACUUCUACAACAAAUUAACAAUCGAAAUAAAUAUCAACCAAGUAUAUUAUUCAUAACAAUCGAAAAGUUAUGAAUUCACAUGUCCUAUAAUAUAGGCUAUAAAUUCGUCGGACUAGAAAUGAAUUAUUCAUAUAUAUAAUGUCAUGUUUAGUAGAGUAGCUUUUCAUUAUUUUGUAUAAAAUUUAACACAUAAGAAUUAAGAUACAUUAUUUGUUUAUCAAUUUUCAAUUCCACAUAAAUAAAAAAUAUUCCCUCUGUCUAACAAUAGUUAUCCACUAUUGACUUAGCACACUCCUUAAGAAACUAUAAAUAAAAGGGUAAUUUUACUAUAUCACCCUUUGAAUAUAAUAAAUACAAUGUCUUGAAAACUGUAACAGAGAAAUGACUAUAAUUAACGAUAAGGGUAAAUUAGGAACUAAGUGUAAAAUAAUCUAUUGAUUUCAUAAAGUGGAUAAAUAUUGUUGGACAUUCUAAAAUAGUAUAGUGGAGACGGAGGGAGUUUUCCCUUCGUUCACUUUUACUAGUCACUUAUUCCUAAAAUGUUUUUUUUACUUGCCACUUUUGACAUAUUAAAAAAACACAAUUAUAUUUUCUCAUGUUUACCCUCAACAUUAAAUACUCUUUCUUCAAAUCAUUUUUCAUGACUUAAUACUAAACAUCAUUUAAUAGGGAUAGUUUGGUAAAAUAUCUAUCAAUAAUUUGAUUCGUAAUUGGUGUGCCAAGUCAAGCCACAUAAAUAUGAGAGAACUAAUACUCCCCCGGUUCCUAUUUAGUUGUCACAAUUUUAGAUUUCACGUUCCUUAAGAAACUAGGUAAGUUUACUAUUGUUACCUUUAUUUAGUGUUCUCUUAAAGUAAAUUUUUCAAUAGAUGAACAUGAAUUAAUUUAUUUUGAUUAAUUAAUUGACCAAUAAAAAUUAAUUAAUUAGUUUUCUUAUGUUGAUCAAAUGCAUAUUUUCAAGGGCUGAUAACUCUCAAAUGUAAAUAUAGGAAGAGUAUAUCAUUUAUGAUUGAUUUUUUGAAAUGACAAUUAUUAAGAAAAACAUCUAUUUUAGUAAGAAUAACGUAUAAAUAAAAAAGGAGAGAAUAUAAAUAACUAAAUUCAACGUCAUUAAUUUGAUUAUCCUUUAAUACCUUAAAAAGAAGUUUAAAUUACGAAAAAGAAAAGGCUGACUGGGUUCCCAUUGGACGUGGGCUUUUGUGGACCACAAAUGGGCCGAAUGUUCCCUCCUUUAAUCGGUUCAAUAGCAUCAUAAACGCAUAUACCACGUGAUCCUUUAAACUAACUCUGGUAAAAUAUUCAGCUAACCAUGGUUAAAUCCAUCCGUCAAGAUGCUGACACCUGUUAGUAUUCAACGGUUAAGAUCAUCUCUUCACAAAUUAUCCGUUUUGCAUUUUCUUAUAUAAACUCCUUCUAGCUCAAUUACGAAGCAUAGAUUGUGAGCAUAGUGUAAAAAUCCAAAGAAGUUUCUAGAAGAGAGAAAAUGGCAAAUCCUAAGGUUUUCUUCGACCUUACCAUCGGAGGUCAGGCGGCCGGCCGUGUAGUAAUGGAGUUGUUCAACGAUGCAACUCCUAAAACAGCGGAAAAUUUCCGAGCACUCUGUACCGGAGAGAAAGGCGUAGGAAAGACCGGCAAGCCGUUACACUACAAAGGAUCAAGUUUCCACCGUGUGAUCCCAGGAUUUAUGUGCCAAGGAGGUGAUUUCACUGCCGGAAACGGUACCGGAGGUGAAUCAAUCUACGGCUCCAAAUUCGCAGACGAGAAUUUCGUCAAAAAGCAUACCGGUCCUGGAAUCCUCUCCAUGGCUAAUGCCGGACCUGGAACUAACGGAUCGCAGUUUUUCGUCUGUACGGCGAAGACUGAGUGGCUUGAUGGAAAACACGUUGUGUUUGGGCAAGUGGUUGAAGGUAUGGAUGUGAUUAAGAAAGCGGAGGCCGUUGGAUCUAGCUCCGGUAAGUGCUCGAAAGCAGUUGUUGUGGCUGAUUGUGGCCAACUUUCCUAGAUCUGAAGAUGAUCGUAGGCAUAUCGAUGAUGAUCUAGUCUAGUUAAUUACUCCUGUCGUUACUAUUUUUGUUUUGUUUCGUUUUGUUUUUCCCUCUGUAGGCUUACUUCUCUAUACUGUAAUUGGUAGUUCUUACUACUACCGGUGCAUGUUGAAUUGAAAUAAGAUAGAUUUCUCGGUUUAUUUUCAGUGAUUUAAGUUUGUGCAAAAUUCUCAUCAUCGUUUUCGAUAAAUUAUUCAAUGGUUCAGAUGGAUCCAUUUUAAUUGAAAAUUCUCUGUUUCGAUAUCCCGUGAAAUAACCAUAUGAUUCUUCCAAUUCUUCUCCUUUCCGUUCGUAUUUUAUUUUAUUUAAUAUAGUAAGACUUAGUUUGGUUAGUUAACAACUUAUUCCGGGACUGAUCAUUAAUCAUAACGAGAAUAAAUAUAUUUUUAUUAAUGGAUGUUUGUUUAUUGAAUUAAAAAUAGAAUAUAUAUAGGGUCUAAUAUAAAAUAAGUACUAGUAUAUGAUUUAAAUUAAAUAAAGUGAGAUAAUUUUCAUUUUCAACUUUAACUAUAGUUUUAUUUCAAAGCUUUGGAGAAAAACUAAUAUUUUUAUUUUUAUUCCUCUAAAUCCUAAACUAUUUUGAUGCCUUAAAUUAUGUUGUGUUUCUGUGGCCUAAGUAACGGCAUCUUCCGCACAAUAAGUGGACAACAUAAGAUCUCCGGCUCUUGAGCAUUACGAUUACGAGUGUGCAAAAAUUGGUUUAAAAUAUUGAAUUGAAUUAUUUAUUUAUAGUUGUUGAGUUAAUAAUUCUAUAAAUUUAUUUAUGGAAAAAGGUUAAAUGUAUUCUUGUUCUAUUGGAAAUAGUUUAAAUAUAUUUUCGUUAUACUUUCGGAUUAAAUAUAAUCCUUCCGUUAUAUUUUCGCGUUAAAUAUAUCUUUAUAACUAACAAAGGUACAAGUGGACGACUAGGAUUAAAAAAACUAUUCAAUUAAAAAUAGAUCUAUUCGGAUAUAAUCCACCCUGCCUCACCCCAAUAUUAUAACUCGACCUAAUCAGUAACAUUGACCCACUCAAACUCUGCUACAGUUUUUACCGUUUGCUGCUAUAUUUUGAGGUGAAAUGUCGCUGCCUUAGUUGGUUAGUAGGUUCAACUGAGUAAUCCUAGUCGUCCAUGUGUACCUCGGUUAGUUAUAAGAGUAUAUUUGGCCUGAAAGUAUAACGGAAGUCGAAAGUAUAACAAAUGAUAUAUUUAAACUAUUUUUAUAGUAUAUUGUAUAUUUAACCAUUUUCCGAUUUAUUUAUUGAGUUAUCUGUUCGAUUUUCAAUGUUAUGAUUUUGGUUAGUGGUUAAAUCAAUAAUUCAAUAAGAUUAUAUUAAAAUUAUUAUUUUAUUCCUAAGUAUAUAGUAGUGACUUUAAUAUCUUACUAACUCUAUUUCCUAAAUUUUAGUAUUACUUUUGGUAGUAGGCAACACGCACCAGUCUCUCUAUUCCGAUAUCUUUCUCUUCUCGAUAAAAAUUAGUAUUACCUUCUUUCUUCUUAAUUUUAAAUUUGAUUGUGACAAACACAAACAAUUAAUGCUAUUUCCUCAUUUAAUAGCAUGAGUACUUGGAAACAAUUCAAACAAAAUUCUGCCUUAAACAAACGUGUUUAUGUCAAAUUUAUGAUGCACUUCUAUUCUUGCUAUUGUUUCUAUUUUGUAAACAUUGUGUAUAUAUGAUUGCAGGGGUGGAGCUAUAGCCAUCCAAGGGUGGUCAGUUGAACACCCUUCGCCGAAAAAUUACAUCAUAUAGAGAGGUCAAAUUUUGUAUUUAAGGGAUAAAUAAUUAAUGUUGAACAAUCUUGACAUAAACUCUUCUGUGGCGCAGUGGUUAAGCGUGUUCAUUUCCACCCCAGGUGUGCACGCGUGUUUGAAUCCCACAGAGUGCGCACAACAUUUUUAAUUUUAUUUUGAGAGGUACUUCCUUUCUUAUGUUUUUUCUAUUUGGUUUUAUAGUUUUGUAUCUUUAGUUUUGUUAACUUAAGAGUACUACUUUAAUAAUAGAGGUUUUACCUUGGUGAGAAGUAUAUGAUAGAGUUACUUGGUACCUGUAUUGGUAUGAGGUAGGAAUUAGUCGAGGUGGGUGCAAGCAGUGGCGGAGCUACAGCCAUCCAAGGGUGGUCAGCUGACCACCCUUCGCCGGAAAAUUACACCGUAUAGAGAGGUUAAAUUCUGAAUUUAAGGGAUAAAUAAUUAAUGUUGAACAACCUUAACAUAAGUUCUUCCGUGGCACAGUGGUUAAGCAUGUUCAUUUCCACCCGAGGUGCGCAAGUUUGAAUCUCGUGAGCGCACAACUAUUUUGGUUUUAUUUUGAGAGCAGAACACAACCUCACACACCAUUAUUAUGUUCCUCAAGUUUAAUUUCUUAAUUAUUACUAUUACAAUUUUAAUAGUAUAGAGUAACAUAUAUGAAUACAUUAUUUUAAUUUUAAAUAGUUAGAUAUCAUGUAUUCCUAAGUUUUAUCUAGGAUAUAAUGCACUUUCGAAUGGUGAAAACAAAAAAGCCAAUAUUUUAGGUUUAAAAAAUUUGUGUUUAUAUAUGUUAACAACUUUAAACCCUUUAACCAAAAAAAAAAAAAACUUUAAAACCCAAAGCUAAAAUCAAUACAUGCGUUUUAUCUUCUUUUUUUAAGAAUUUUUUUUUCUGCUGGUGUGAUUUAUGUUUCGUAAAACUAGACACAUUUGUUCUAUCAAUAUUUCACUUUAAAAAUAAUAAUCAUAUAUUUUUAUCAUAUAAAAUCAAUGCAUCAAAAAGAAAAAAACGGCAUUGUUUAUAUUUGAUUUUGACAAAUGUUGAGAUUAUUCAUGGUAGAAUCCCUAGGUUAAACAAAUAACAUUCAACUCACUUAUUAAAAAAAAAUUCUUGAGCACCCUUGAUGGAAUUUCUGGCUCCGCCACUGUAUGAUUGUAUGAAUAUUUUUUUCGGUUAAUUAAAUAAAUAAAUUGAAUUGUUAAGGGUCAAAAAUCAAUUCAUUGAAAACUGAUAAUAAAUAUUUUACUGAUUUGGUUAUCGAUUUAGCAUGUUCACAAACUAAUAACAAAUAAACGAAAUUGAUAAUACAUAAAACCAAACCUAAUCGAUUGAUGUAAACCCCUGAUUACGACUACGUUACACUUGGUUUUAUUUAUUACUAUAAUUAAUUUCUCAUCUUUUUCAAUUUAUGAAUCUCAACUAUUUGUCGAGUUAAAAAAUAAUUUCUAUGACUACGAUUUUUGAAAAUACUUACUAAAUAUGGUACAUUAUUAACAAUUGCAACUUAUAUGAUUUUGUAUAUUUUAUUAUGUAUAACUUUUUAUGUAAUCAACCCACAUUUGAUUAUGGGCUCCUUGUUAUGAUAAAACCAUUGUAAAAAUUAUAUAAAAAAUUCAUAGUGUGAAGACCUAAUUAUAUCUUAUUUUUAUUCUUUUUCAAAUUAUAAAAACCUCUUAAAAUUAUAGGAUCUCGGAUACAUCAGGAAAUUAAACCUACCGAUACAUAGCUCACAAAUUGUGAACGAUAUAUUACUUGGGAGAGAUGAACCUGAGAGGGGAUAGGGAUGUAUUCAAGAGAGGAGGGGGGGGGGAUGUAUUCGAGAGAGGAUAAAGUUGUAUCCGAGAGGGUAUAUGGAUGGGAAAAUUGUAUGAAAUAGCAAACUAUUAAUUCAAAUUAAAUGCUAUAGCCAUAGUUUAUUUUAAUUGUAAUUCGCAACAAACAUUCUCUUUUUUUUUGCCAUCUGAUUCGAUAUACAAUUAGCCAUUUUAUACAUUUCGGUAUAAACUGUAUAAAAUGCGUUUGUGUUUGUAUAAAGCGAGAGAAAAGUGUAUAUACAAAUACAAAUACAUAUAUUUUCGUCCUAUACACUUAUAAUUAUACAACUACAGAUCUUAUUAUACAAAUUACAACGUAUAAAUGAAUUUACACAAAACAGAACAAUUUGUAUAAAAUUGGAUGUUUGUAGCGAAUUAUACAAAUCAAAAGCUCCAUAGCAAACAUAAAAUUUGCUAUGGAGCGCAAUUAUGCAAACUGUAGCUAUAACAUAUAAAUAUGAUUUUUAUGUUUGCUAUAUGUGAAAGUUGCUCUUGGGAUGUAUUCGAGAGAGGAUAGAGAUGUAUCCGAGAGGGAUUUUUGUAACUUUUUUAAAUAAGAAGAAAUUUUAGAAAUUAUGAUAAAAUAAGAUGUGUAUUUAUGUAAUUUUUCCAAAUAUUUCCUCUUUAACCUAAGCUAUUCUUGUUGGAAAAUAUUAGAGUAAAUUAUCCAAAAAGUGAGACCAUAAUUUUUAUUCAUUAUUUAUACCUUAAUUUUUAUAAAUUACUUAAUCAUAUUUCUUUCCAAAAAAAAAAAAUACUACGCCGAAGAUGACUAGUAAUAUAUAAAUUACCUAAUCAUAGUUAAGUUGAUGCUUCCUAUGGUGUACUCACCAGAAAGAAUCGUGAUCUGUGUAUGCAGAGUUUGAAUGAGUUUUCAAAAUUAUAAUCAAACUUUUAUUGUUGCUGAUUAUUUUUUUUCUAAAAAAUGGCCAAUGCAAUCUUUAUUUUUCGUCUUUUUUCUUCUGCAUCUUCCUCCUUCUUCUACGUUUUCUUCUUUAUUGUUUUUCCUUUUUUUUUAAAUUUAACGUACGGCUAAAUUAAUGUGAAUCGUUUCAAGAAAAUUAUAUAUCGAAAGACUUCAAACAUCGAUAGAUUUCAUGUAUGAAAUUAGGGAUUGCUUAGAUGUGAUUUUGCGUUGGUUAUGAUUGAAUAAUCAGUGUAUACUUCAUGUAUAGUUGGUGUCUAUUUCAUGUAUAAUUAAGUUAUAUUGAACUUUUUGAGUGUAUCACAAUGUAUAGUGAGUGUAUAACUAAUGUAUAGGUAAACUAUAUUCAGUUUUUUGAGGGUAUUAUAAUGUAUAGUCAGUGUAUAGCUACCGUAUAUUUUCUAACUAAUGUUGACUAUUUUUUAUGUAAAAAAAAUAUGAUUAUAUUUAUUAUAAAUUAAUUACUUUAUAUAUAUAUAUAUAUAUAUAAUAAAAAAAAAUCAAAGAGAAAUCAUUAAAUUGAAUCGAAAAAAAUAUUAAUUUAUCGUUAAUGAGUUAUUGAUUUAGCAGUUUUGAUAACGAUAUUAAUUUUUUUAUUAUUAGGUUAUUGGUUCGUAAUGACUUGAGGUUUUUUCCUUAACGGAUUAAUUGAUAAUCCGAUAGUAAAUUAAAUAAUUAUAUUCAGACCAUUUGGUAUAUAAAUUCCUUGACUUAGAGUUUCGUUUCAUACUUUUAUUUCUGUCUAUCUCAAACUUUUUGUUAUUCUAUAAUGUGACAAUGUUUGCUUUUAAGUAAGAUGUUAUCUGUCAACUCAUGUGCAUGGUUCCAUUCGGUUGGUCAUCUUGUUUCUAACUUAUUUUCAAUGAUUUUCUUGUGUCAAAUUUUAAUGGUUAAACCGAUAAGUGAACUGAUAACGAUCAAUAACCUAUAAAAUAAUAAUCAAUAAGUCAAUAUAUUAAUGGUUCUAUAAUAAUUUAACAUGUUUACAAAUUGAUAACCGAUAAGUCGAACCGAACCGGUCAAUAUGUGCCCUAGUGAGCUACCUCUCACAUCCCCAUCACUCACUAAUAUAUGUCAAUAUCUUAUUAGCUUCUCCCAAAUAUGGCCUCCAAUAAUGUUGCUUUCGGUGAUGAAGACGGCCAGCUUUCUGGAAGCUUUAGUGAAUUUUAUGUUUUACACCACAAAAAAAUGGGAGGGGUGGGGGAGCAAAUUUACUAAAUUGUAAGCAUUAUUUCAUAUAUAGUCUAUGGGAAAUAAUUUGUUUUGUUUCGUAAGAUAAGAAUAAAAUCUAUGUAUAUUUUAUCAAUCACAAACCUCACUUAUAAAAUCAUAGAGGAAAAUAAAAAUAAAAUUUAUGUACAUUUUAUUUUUUGCAAACCUUACUAAUUCUGAAAUCACUCUGAAUACGUUGUUGAAUUUAAUAAAAGUUCUUCUAACAAGUCAGCACCCAAGUCUUCAAAAACCAAAACUGUUUUCUUCAUCUUCUUCUUCCUAUUUCUCCUCUUCACAUUUUUCAUUCUCAUUUUAUAUCUUUCCUUUAAAGCAGCUGCUGGAGACGAGCCAUCUUCGAUAAAUAAAUUAAUAUUUUCUAGUGAUUCUUGGACCUUUUUCGUUGAAAAGUUGAGAAGUGCUAAAGGACCGCGCAUUGAAAAUGCAGCUUGAUCAUAAACUAAAGCAGCUUCUUCAGCAGUAUCAAAUGUCCCUAGCCAUACCCUAAUUCCCUUUCUUGUUGAAUCCCUUAUUUCCGCCGCAUAUUUACCCCAUGCCCUCUUUCUAACUCCUAUAUAAUGUUUUUCAUCAUCUUUUUCUUCUUUGUGAUCUGUGUCUUUUCUCUUGAUGGAAUAUGAUGUCACCCCAUCGUAGUUACUUCCUUUCAAGAAAUUUGUAGUCUCUGAGGAUGACAAACUUCUUGGUAUAUUCAACUCGGAAUUAAAUUCCCAUAUUCGAAAUUCGUCUAGCAAGAAAUCAUAAUUUGGGAAAUGAAGGGAUGAAAUUUCCAUAUCCGUAAGGCUUUGAGUGUUGGUUGAAAAUUAAUGAUGUUAUAUAGUGUUCCUUGAAAUGAACGCUUAGGACAUUUAUAUUUAUACCACCACCCUUUGAGCGGAAUAUAAAUUAUAUAUAAGGGAGGCAUUGGAUAAGGGAGGACUUGAGAGAGAUGGAUAUUUUCAUGAUUUUCACCUCUUUCUCUCUUGACCUAAUUAUUAAUCCAAUUCUUGACCUCAAGUCUUUAAGUCUUUUAAAUAUGGCUAUUUUAAUGGAUAAUUAAGGUCUAUCUAAUCCCUAAUGAUGCAUGAAAAUAAUCUUUUAAGUUAAAAUUCAGAUGAAGAAAAAAAAAUACAAUAGGGCCAAUGUUUUGUGUAAAAUAGUACUACCAGAUAGACAUAUGCUAUGGCCAAGUGGCAAAAUUUCAAUGCUAGCUAGUUCACUUGAAAAUGAAAUGUAUCAAGCAAGUGCUUGGAGAGUAUUUAAUUCCUUCUAGCGAUGGCGGAAUCAAAAUUUCUGUGAAGGGAGUUUUAAGUAUAAAGAAGUAAAUUUGUAAAAAUUCUAAGAUGAAAAAGAGAGUGAAAUACUAAUUUUAACACUCUAAAUAGCCUGAUCAAAUUUUCGAACUUUACUAAUUUUGGAAAAAAUGUUUGUUAUCAGAAGUUAUUUUUUCUUCGAAAAAUAGAGUUUUGUGUUUUGCUAAUCAAUCUAAAAUCAUUCUUGCCAAUAGUGGAGUAGAAAUUUGUAUUUGGUCGUCAAGCUUCCCAAAGUAUUUUUUGGAGAAUUUAUUUUUUUCAACUUCUAAAAAAACAUUUUAUACUAUUUGAAAAUACUUAUUUGUUUUUCUAAAAGCUUGAUCAAACACCUCAACUCUGUAAAGUAAGCAUUUUUUUACUUUUCUAAAAACUUGACUAAACAAGCUAUUAUCAAACUAAAAUAGUACUCGGUUUGUUUCAAUUUGUUUAUCCUACUUUUCUUUUAGUUAGUUUAAAAAAGAAUGUCUUUCUUCCUUUUUAACAACUCUUUUAUUCCAGUUUUCAACAUGACAUAUUUACAACCGUAAGAUUAAAACAUAUUUUAAUAUAUUUGAUAUAUUUUCAACUUAAAAUCACAAAAUUCCAAAAUUUUCUUUACUUUCAUAUAUUUCAUAUCAAAGUAGUAUUUAUUUUAAAAGUGAUGGACAAGUAAUCAAAAUGGUCUCAAUCUUUCUAUUGAAGAAGUUGAAGUGCAUCAAGAUUGUGACAUUUGCAAGUAAAUGAUUUUAAAUUUGACAAAGACAUAUAUAGUGAUAUGCAAUAUCUUCAAGGUCUUGGUAUUGUAAUAAAUCAAUGAUAUGAGUUGAUAAUACAUUCGGCAUAAUACAUAUAAGAAUAUGUAGCUGAUAUAGAAUCUUUUGGUCAGGAAAAAGCCGGAUAGGAUCGAGGGUUCAUCUGAAAAUUCUUCAAUGGAAAAUUUGACUUUUCUUCUCCUCAUCUAGUCUAGGAAAAUUAGAAGAUAGAAUAGAGAGGAGGUAAAUCAUGAUGAAGCAAAAUUAUGGGAAAAUUGAGGGCACAUAGAGAAGUAAAUUAAAAUGGUUAUUGUUUUGUAGGUGCACUUUCCUAAUUUAAUAGUUUCAAUUAAAGACGGUAAUUUUUCUAAGAUAUAACAUAAUAUCAUCUAAAGUAGUCUAAAAUGUGCUAUUUAUUCAGCCAAUUUAAAUUUAAAUAAAAAUAUAUCUUGAAAAGUGAAAACCAACAACAAAAAAAUUAGAUCCAAAUUAGAGAAAUGAGUCAAAAUCCCAAAAGUCAAUAAACGUGGAAUGAGGUGGAACACGUGCUCAAGACUAUUGUUGCUUCAAUACGUAAUUCCACAAUUUUUUAUGACUUUAAAAUGUCACAAUCUUUAGUGACUUGGACCUUACAUAUUAACUUGAUGAUAGACUUCAAAACCCUUUUUUUAUAAAACAAAAAUAAUGGUAGGAAGGUGUUUCUUGUAAUGAAGCUUACGCGAUAUGAUUUGACUGAGUUAUGUAAAAUCAUACGAAAAGAAAAAGGAGGUAUGAGAUAAUCAUAACGAAUGCGUCGGAGGGAUGCCAAUUGGUUGAUAUUAUUUCUCCUGGAUCUUAACUUCUUAUUUUUUAGGGCAAAUCUAUCAAAUUUAAUCAAAUUACAGUAUUUAGAUUAAUAGAACCAAUGAAUAUCGUAUAUUGAAUAAUUAUACAAAAUAUCCUUUGAUAAUUGAUAAGAAAAAGUAAGCAAAUACUAACAUAAAAUGUUUAUACAAUUUACUUGUGCCCAAUGUUUAUAUAGUUUUAAAUAAGUGAUACAUAUCUCCACCAGGGCCAGCUCUAUGCUUUGGCAAAUAAGGCUUUUGCCUUAGGCCCCAAAUUUUAUCAAGAAUAAAUUAUGUGUUAAAAUUGCUAUAGAACUAAUUGAUUAUUUAUGAUAAAAAGUAUAAUUUUUUUAAAAAUAUAUUAUUUUACCCACUUUAACAUCUUUUAUACUUUGUUAAAAAUAAGAAUUAAUAGUGAAAAGUGUUGAACAAAGUGAAUUACAAUUUUAUUUUUUUUAAUUUCUUUUUUAAUUUUAGUAUCAGGCAUUACUACAACCAUAUUAAAAUGGGUAUACCAAGUCAUCAACUUCUUGCAUCAAAUUCUAUGGUUCUAACUCUUAUCUUUAUUUAAUAUUUCCACUUUAACAUCUUUUGUACUUUGUUAAAAAUAAGAAUUAAUAGUGAAAAGUGUUGAACAAAGUGAAUUACAAUUUUAUUUUUUUUAAUUUCUUUUUUAAUUUUAGUAUCAGGCAUUACUACAACCAUAUUAAAAUGGGUAUACCAAGUCAUCAACUUCUUGCAUCAAAUUCUAUGGUUCUAACUCUUAUCUUUAUUUAAUAUUGUCAACUUAUUACUUAUAUAAUUAUGUUAACAAUUCAUAUAAUAAUUGCCUCACUGAAAGGAUGUUUUUUCCAAAUCUUACCUAAAACUAAUUACUGAAAAAACAAUAUUAAAAUACUAAUAAUUUUCAUCUAAAUAAUGUAAGAAAAAUAAAUUUUGAAUAAAUACGUACAUGAAGUUUGUUUAUAUUUUAGGCCCAAAAUCAAAAUUUUGCUUUAGGCCCCCAAUCACGUUGAGCCGCCCUUGAUCUCCACGUAAUUCUUAUAACUAAAUGAUAGUUUAUUAAUGCAUGGGUAUUUUCAUUCGGUAGGUAACUUAUAAUCAUGAUAAAUUAGAAUAAUUUGAUGUAAAUCCUUUUUAAAAAUAUAGUUUUUGACAUUAAAGUAUAGUCUUAUGUUCACGUAAUAACAUUGGGAAUUAAUUCAAUAAUUAAAGUGGAAGUCAAGUCAGUAUGGUUAUCCUAUGGGACAUUAGAAAGGACUUUUUCACUACGACAAUAAUAGUUUUUGAUGACAAUAAAUAUAUACAUUAACAAAGAGUACUAAAGCCUCUGUCAACAUAAGCUAAUUGUCACUAUUGUAUCUAAUAUUUAUCGUUAUAGACUUUAAAAACAUUUACAAAAAAUUACAUAUUUAGCGGGUUGGUAAACUUUUCAUGGGAAAUUUGUUACUAUAACUCGUGGCUAUUUAUUUUUUUUAAAAGAAGAAGAUGAUUUCACAUAUGUUAGUACUCCUGUACGGCUGUGUUAAAUAUUUGCGGACAAACCAACACUGAAGAUUUCUAUCUUCAACCAUUAUAAGAAAAAAAAUUAGCGACUAUAAAUAUGUACAUUAUCCAAAAAUGUUAAAGUCUUUAACCGCAAUAGUUAAUUGUCAUUAGAUCAAAUAUUGCUAUAGACUUUAGGGACAUUUAAAAAAAAUGUUAAUUGCCUCUAAAAGUACAUAUUUAGAGUGUGUUUGGUAUGAAUGGAAAUAUUUUCCAUGGAUGGUAAGAACUCUAUAUCCUCGUGAUUGUUCGAUUGCAUGGAGUUCCGAAUUUCAUCAUAUCAGAUAGAGGUAUGCAAUUUACUUCUAACUUUUAUAGGACCUUGUAGGCUGAGUUAGGUACUAGAUUGGAUCUUAGUACCACAUUUCACCCUCAGAUCGACGGACAGUUUGAGCGGACAAUUCAAAUGCUGAAAGAUAUGCUUCGUGCGUGCGUGAUAGAUUUUGGUGGUCAUUAGGAUCAGUUCUUACCCUUGGCAGAGUUUUCGUACAAGAAUAGCUAUCACUUAAGUAUUGAUAUGACUCCAUUUAACGCAUUGUAUGAAAGGAAAUAUAGGUCUUUCAAUGGUUGGUUUGAUGCAUUUGAGGUGAGACUUGGGGUACUAAUCUUUUGGGGGAAUUGUUAGAUAAGGUGAAAUUCAUUCAAGUGAAGUUUCUAGCAGCUCAGAGCAGGCAGAAGGAGUAUGCAAACUGGAAGAUCAUGGACUUGGAGUUUGUGGAGGGAGAGCAAGUGUUGCUGAAGGUUUCGCCCAUGAAGAGUAUGAUGAGGUUUGAUAAGCGAGGUAAGUUUAGUCUGAGGUAUAUUGGGACGUUUGAAGUUCUUAUACGUGUGAGAGAGGUGGCCUAUGAGUUGGCUUUGCCUCCAGGAUUGUCUGGAGUACACUCGGUAUUUCAUGUGUCUAUAAAUAUCAUAGUAAUGAAAAUUAUAUUAUUUGUUGGGAUUAGGUCCUACUUGAUGAGAAUCUGUCUUAUGAGGAGGAAUAUGUAACUAUUCAAGAUAGAAAGGUCCGCUAGUUAAGGUCAAAUGAGAUUGUAUCUGUCAAGGUUCAGUGGAAGAAUCAGCCGGUUGAAGAGUCCACUUGGGAGACUAAGGCUAAUAUGCACGAAAGAUAUCCACAUUUUUUCGUCGAGUCAUGUACCCUUUCUUACCCUCGCCUUUCUUUUGACCGUUUGGAAUGAACGGUUGGUAAAGUGGUAUUUGAUGUAACGACCCAUUAGGUCAUGACAAAUACUAGACCUACUUCUUUUAAAAAGAACCUUUCCAUAAAUUUAAAUCAGAAUUUUGAACUACUCAUUUAACUAUGGUUAUUUAGUUAUCAUAUUAUGAUUCAAAUUUUGAUAUAUUGGUAUAUAUAAUUAAAUAUUAUAUAUAUAUUAUAUUAUAUAAAUAUCAUUCGAUUUAUGAUAUUUGGAGAAAAUUGAGACUUAAUUCUAGGCUUGAAAUUUAUGAAAUAUGAGACUUGAUAUAUUAGUUGGCAUAAAAAAUUAGGAAAUUGAUUAUAUGUUUGAGUGACUUUUUUUAGUCUAGGCUAGAAAUAUAGUAAUAUGAGUGCCUACAGACUCAUUUGCUUACGAAUAUUGUAUACUUGAUAUAUUGAAAACGUUCCGAGACAUUGAGGAAAGGAAAAACAUUAGGGAAUCAACAAUUGCUUGACUUCAGUUCUUCGAUUGAGGUAGGUUAUGGUUUAUUCUAUGUGAUAGAGUGACUCUUAAUAGUGAUUGAUAGUCAUUAAGUAAUGUUGUAAAUAUUUCUAUGUACUUAUUUGGUGUGGUUCGGAUGAUUUAUAUGUUGUUGUGAUUGGUUUGUAAUCCCAAGACCGUAAAAUUCAUAAUCAUGAACUUACUCUAUCAAAGUGAUGCCUUGAAUAAACAAGGCUUGAUGAAAUAUUGUUAAGAAGGUGGAAAAUGAUGAUAAAGAAUGAUUAAUCAACUAUAUUAUUGGAUCAGGUGUCACAUUCCUGCACGGCAACAUUUAAUGAAAACAUAUCAAAAUAACUUAGUAUACUCAAUUUCAAAGAACUCAUUUACCAAAAGAGCGUGGUGUGGAGACCUAAGUCCUCAUGUAUAUUCUUGAUAUUGUUGGCUAAUUACAUACUUGCUUCAUUGAUGUAGUUACUUGUUCAUGUUGCUUGUUGCUUACCACUUGCUAAGUGCUAUAAUUGAUUGUUAUUCUAUUUUAAGUUGCGAUGAUAUUUACUCAGUACAUGUUAUCUAGUACUGAUCCUUACUUGUAUUUUUCUCAAUUUUCCUUUUGUGGAGUGCAACAAGUGUAUCAACAAGUUCGACUCGUCGCCAGCUCUAGUCAGUCUCCAGCACAUCAGAUUUUAGGGUGAGCUAUUCAUUCUAUCUCGUUUUGGAUUCCCUUGGUUGUGGCAUGAUAUUCAUAGUUUUCAAACACAGACUAUUUUAUUUAUCUAUUCUGAUGUUUUUGAUACUCUUAAACAUGAUAUUUUGAGAUUAGAUGUCCUUAAUGUGAUGAAUUUUAGAUUUUGAGACGUGAUAUGUAAUAGACUCUAGUUGAUUUUAUUUCUUACUUUAAUAAUAUUUGAGUUUCCACACUAUAGUCGUAUUUCAUAAGUUGAAUUGUUAGCUAAUAUAAGUUGGAGUUUGCAUUUGUUGGUUAUAGCCCACUUAGAAGGUUAAGUAUGAGUGCCACUCAUGACUCAUUUUGGAUGGUGAUUGUUUGAGUACUCAAAACUGAAGUUUUUAUUAAAAUUAUGGAGUGUCAGAUAAAGUGUUUGUUUGGGCUAAGCGACAAAGAAAUGACUAUGAUACUAGAUCUACUCAAGGAUGCCUUUAAAUUUGCUAAGAUCCCUAAUUCUUUUUACUUUUGUUUGCUAAGUUCAUUCAAUUUAUUUAACAGAAAAUGGCCUAAAAUACCCUUGAACUAUUUGAAUUGGUACAAAAAUACCCUUCGUUAACCUAUUGACUCCAUAAUACCCUUGACGUCAAUCUUUAGGGCCUAUAAUGCUCUUAUUACUAACAACUCUUAUAUAAAAAAUAAUUAAAACUUUCAUUUAAUACAUGGCAUGCUAUGAUUCGUUGAAAAUUUAAUUAAUCUAAACAAAUCAAAAUCCCAACCCAACCCGGAUCCACUUAUUAAUCCAUACCCGCCCCAACUAAAAACUCCAUACAUGUAAAAAUUAAAGGAAUCCCAUAGUCUAAUAUGUAAAUUACAUCAUAUCCCUAAUAAUAUCUAUAUUACAAAAAUCCCUUGUAAAUGGAUGCAGCCGGAUACAUUGGUUCCACCAAGAUACAUUAUAAACGAUACAUCAGAAACAAAUUGUUGUUGCACUAAAAAAGGAAAAAAAACGUACAAAUUAUUUUAGUUAUAUUAAUAUCCUAGAUUUACGCCUAACUGAUCCUAAUCAUAAUCAUUCCAUAUCCUAAUAGGGAUCAGAAUCACCAAUUUCAAAAUUCAAAAAUACAUCUUCUCCAUUGAAGACGAUUUUUGAAAAGCCAUUGAUGUUAAAAAAAUCAUAAUUUCAAAAAGAAACUUGAUACAAGAUGAAUAUAUCUAUUUUGUUGAGGCAUUCAGGAAUUUGGGCUAGCGAAGUUAAUUAUGAAGGAUACAAAAGUGAUGGAAUUGUUAUUGGACAAUCAAUUUCAUUUAUGAAUCUCAAGGCAGCCAUUACAGCCGAGUUAGAGACCGAUGAGGUAAGAAAAAAUAUUGAAAUUCGAUACAUCGUAGAAGGUAAUUCAUGUCCGAUGAAAAUUAAGAACGACAUGGGUGUUAGACUAUAUUUAGAAGUGAAAAAAAGUGAGCCUGGUUUUGCAAUGUAUCCAUUAUGUAUUGAUACAACGGAUAAAAUUGGCGGUGAGAUACAUAGCUUUGAUGGAACAUGCGGAGAGAUUACAUGUAUCGAAGGUACAACAAGGGAUACAGAAUUUUUUUUAUCUGAAUUUUGAAUUAAUGUUUUUAAUUUUAAGAUCUACAUCGGAUGAUACAUUUAAAUUUCUAAUGUGUUUAAUACAGUAUUAUUCUUAGAAGCUGUGUGAUGGUGCUUUUGUUUUGUUGUAAUUUUUUUGUUGAUUAGAUGAUACAUGCAAGAAGCGCACACAAUUGAGUUGCGUAAUGUAUCCUAUACAUUUUGUAACUUUGAUUUAUGCGUAAUGUAUGAAACAAAUUAGAAAUUUAAAUGUAUGGUGAUAUUAUGCGUUAUGGUAGUUAAUAUUGUUGAUACAUUAAUGUCAUAUAAAAUGUAACUGCUAUAUGUAUUAAUAUGAUGAAAAACAUUGUACAGCUAUGUGUUGGUGUGCUUUUCGAUUGAAUGUGGUUGGACUAUGAAGGCUUCAUGUAGGAAAAAUACUGAUGUUUUCAAAGUAAGAUACUUUAAUAGUGAACAUACAUGUCCAGUGCGGGAUAGGAUACUAACCAAAAUCCAAGCAACAUUUGGGUUUGUUAGUGGUGUGACUGUUCCUAAAUUGGUCAAUCAUAAACGAAUUCAUACUCCAAAAGAUAUAAUUGAUGAUAUUAGAGAAUUCUAUGGGGUUCAAAUAUCUUACCAGCAAGCAUGGCGUGCUAAAGAACGUGCACUAGAAAUGCUAAGGGGUAAACCAUCAUAUAGAUAUAAGAAGUUGCCAAGAUACCUAUACAUGUUGAAUAAUGUGUAUCCAAAUUCUUAUAUAAGGAUGCACAAGUCAGUGGAAGAUGAAUUCAUGUAUCUGUUCAUAGCCUUAAGACCAUUGAUGAGGGGGUUCGAUUACUGCAGACCGGUAGUUGUUGUCGAUGGUGCACAUCUUGGUGGAGCUUACGAAGGUACAUUUUUAUCAGCAAGCACACUUGAUGGGGCAGGUCUGUAUUUAUGGAUGAAUCAAUGUUGGAAUUCCUUAUGGAUGAAUCAAUUCUCGAUAACAAUCAUACUGGAAAGAAGAGUAUGGUAAAUGGUUCGUUCAAUGGCAUCGGAGAACACAGUGGUUUUUGAUGAUAUAAUGUUGGUGUUUGUUUCGCCAUAUCCUCUGAUUAAGCACUACAUUUCGAUUCUUCGAAAUGAGCAGAUGCCUUGCCCAAUUAUCAAGAAUGCCAUAGCUGAUCUUGGUAGAUUGUUUAAGUUUGAAGAUUCAAGAGAUUGAUUGCCUACUAUAGUAGAAAAGAUCCAAUGACCAACGAGUGUUGCAUCUGUGGAAUUUGUUAAUCCAAGGAAACCUGUUGCAAUUGUUCCCAUCUUGAGAGUUGCUCUGCCUCUAGCAAAGCAUGUGUCAACAAAAACUUUUCAUCUGGGAGUAGGCAGAAAUGAAGAAACACGUCAGUCCUCUGUAUACUUGAACGUGCCGUAGUUGACCCAACUGUUAAUGAGACAGGGUUUGUAGUUGGGUGGUAGAGAUUAAUAGGUGGAUCCGGGUUGGGUUGGAUUUUGAUCUGUUUAGGUUAAUCAAAUUUUCAACGAAUCAUAGGAUGCCAUGUAUUAAAUGAAUGUUUUAAUUAUUUUUGUUACAAGGGCUGUUAGUAACAAGGGCAUUAUAGGCCCUAAAGAUUGACGUCAAGGGUAUUAUGGAGCCAAUAGGUUAACGAAGGGUAUUUUGUACCAAUUCCAAUAGUUUAAGGAUAUUUUAGGUCCUUUUCCGUUUAUUUAAUGUUGUUUGCUUUGGUCUGUAAUCUAAUUGUAUUUUGUUUCCCAAGUUGAUUCAAUCUUUUUUCCUAAUUAUUUUUAGGUCCAAUGUGUCUAUAGCAAAAAUUGAUCAAGUUCGAAAUUCAACGAAAUUUGAGGUAUCUCAUAAGAAAGAGUUGGUGAAACAGUGACGAAAAGUUGUGGGAGAGACAAUAAUAUUGAACAGAUAUGAAAAAAGGCAUAUGAUUUGGGGAAGAUAUUUCUUGUUUGUUUUUUAUAUUUUUAUUCUUUUCCCUCACAUGAAGGAGUUUCUUCCUAAUUUUGCUAAAACAAUGGAUAUCAACGUAGCCCAUUGAAUUAUUAGUUUUGAUGUUAAAUUCACUAUUUCAAAAAUAGAUUUUCACUUUUACUUAUAAUAUGAUAACAGAGCCAUGAUAAUAAUUAUUUUUUAAUCGAUAUGUAUGUAAAAAUGAACGGAGAAUGUAAAGUGUUGGUGACAAGAAAUUUAAAUCAAAUGGAACAAUAGAGUGAAUAUAGCGUGAACAUAUAUUUUCGUCUUUCUUCUUCAUUGGCUAUGUAUUGUUCCAUAUAAUUUUUCUUUAUGUCACAAGAUACACUCCUUACUAGCUAUAUAAAAAUAGAUAAGAAAAUAGUGAUUGAUCAUAAAAUGAUCUUAAAUCAAAUUAAUGAUUCUAUAAAUAGUACUUUAAAUUUUAUUCAUCUAUUAAUUUUUAUUAUUAAAAGAUUUAAAUAUUUUAUAUCAUUAUCAUGAUACAACUUCUAUAAGAUAUAUACUAGAUACUUUCAUUAGACAACAAUUAUAUGAUAUGUAUGCGGCAGAAAAAAGGAGAAGACUACAAUUCAACAAAGAUAAGGUAGAAACUUAAUGAAAUGAAAUAUUUUUCACCAUGGUGAUUUUAUUAAUAUAUUAAAACUAAAUUAUUCUACUAAAGUAUAUAUAACCAUCAUUCAUGAUAACAACCAAGUACACUGUUUUGAUAAAAUUACCUCUCUAUACCUUACACAAAAUAUUAACUGAGUAAUAAUAUUUUGUAAAAAAUAUGUUACAUAUAAAGAUAAAAUAUUUAAAUUGUCAUGCACAUACUAAAUUCCAAGUAUUAAUAUUUACGAAAAAAAUUUAUACUUGAAUGGUGUACAUCAUUUAUGUUCAUAACCUCAAGAUGAAAGGCUAUUGGUGACAUUUUUUGAAUGGAAUUUUUUUUUCUAUUUUGUUGGUUAGAUUUGUUUGCAAAAUUGAGUGAAGUAAGAAAUAAUAUUAUUAAAGAAAUGUCACUUUCAUCCAUAUUUAAACGUUGAAUGUAUUUUGAAAUGUUUUAAUGAUAUCUGAUCAUUUUGAUCUCAAAAUACAAGUAACCCUAUGACGAUAUGCAUUAAUAAUUUAAAAACAAUUGACCUAUGUUCGUUCAAUUAUAAUUACUUACUAAAAUGCUUUAAUUUAGAAAUAUUAAUUCUAUUUUACAACAUCAUACACUAUAUAUACGAUACACACGUGCAACGCACGUGCCGUGAAACUAGUUAAAUUAAAUGAAAUGACUAUUUUUAUUAGAGCAACUUUCACAUAUAGACUGUGAAGCGUGUCCCAACAUUUAAUAUCUCUUUGUAUUAGAAAAAAAAAAGUGAAGUGUGGCCCAACAUUAUAUAUCUCUGUAUUAGGCCUUGAACCAUGAAUUUCCAGAGUAAAAAUUCUGUAAUUCGGUGUGACUUUUGUCUCAUCUCAAUUCUCAUCUCUACCAUUUUUUCUGUUCAUCACUUUAAAUUAGAUUCUAUUAAAUCCUUUAUUUUAACCCUAGAAUGCGAACACAUUUGCCUAUGUCUCUAUUAAUUCUAAUCUUAAACCUAUUAAUUAGAUCUUAAGCACCUCCUGAUUUAAAUAUGAUUUAUGUUAUGAUUUAGUUGUUUUCAUUUAUGUGCGAGGUUAAAUCUAUUUGAUUUUGUAAAUCCUAAACCUUAGAAUGUGAAUCAAUUGUUGUGUUAAUAGAGACAAAACAUAAUUGUCUAUGUCUCUAUUAGAGUAAAUCGACUUGUUUUGUUAAUUCUAAAUCCUAGAAUGUGGAUCAAUUUAGUUAGUUGUUUUCAUUCAUUUAUGAAUGUGCGAGGCUAAAACGACUUGUUUUUAUAAACUCUAAAUACUAGAAUGCAAAUCGAUUUCUUCCUGUGUUAAUAGAGAUAAAAAGGCAUUCAUAUUUGUCCCUAAUAGGGGAUAUCGACUUGUAUUUGUUAAAUCUUAAACCCUAGAAUGUGAUUCAAUUUAGUUGUUUUCAUUCAUUUUUGAAUAUGCAAGGCUAAAUUGACUUAUUUUUGUAAACUCUAAAUCCACUAUUAAAAAAAUAGAAAAAUCAACGUCAGAAUACCGACUUCCUAUAGAACUGAAUAAACACAAUGAUUUACAUGUUUAACCACAAAUGUCCUGCCACUUUUUUUUUUUUUUUUUUAAUUCUGCAAAAUAUACGUAAAAUAAUAAAUAAAAUAAUAAUACAUGAAUGAAAAUAAAAUAUAAAAUUUAUUAUAAAAAAUAAAGUUAUCAAUAGAACUUACCCAAAUAUAUAUAUAUAUGGAAGGGACAUUUUAGUCUUAAAAAAUAAUAUUUUUCUGCUUCAGCUUCCAUUUAAAAGCAGUUUUACAAGUUUGUCAAACACCUUAUUUUUUUUAAAAAAAAUGUCAUUUUUCUCAAAAUAAGUGUUUCUGGGUUCACAUCAGCAAUAUCAAACAGACUCUUAAUGAAAAAAUAUAAGGCCUAAUUGUCAUGUGGGGGAAGGGGGUAUGAGGAUUGGGCCGAAGAUGAAGUGCGUUGAAGGGUGAAAAUCAAAAUGAAGUCAUUAUAUUUUUCUUAUUUUAAGGAAUUUAUUUAUUUUUCCUCUGUUUAAAAAGGAAUGACUUAAUUUGACUUGAUAUGAAGUUAAGAAAAUAAAGAAGAUUUUUCAAUUUUAUGAUCCUAAAUUAAAGUUAUAUCAAAAUAUCAUUUAAUAUUACGGAUUUAAGCAUGCCACGUGAAAAGAUAAAAUGUAUUGAUUGGCUAAAGAAAAACCUUGGAGGUUAUACAUAUGUAGUUUACAUUUUAUUUUGUUAGAAAGAGGGUUUAAAUAUUUUAAUCAUUUGCAUAAUUAGUGAACAGAAAAUCCGCUGUAGGAAUUCCCAAUUGUUAGGAAUCCGGGUUCAAAUCCCGGCAGCUGAAUACACUUUUUGAUAUUGUUUUUUUCUUAUCAUUUUUGUAAUAUCAUUUUAAUUUUUGUAAAUUAUAUCAUAAAAAAGAAUCAAAUUUGUUUAUUUUGAUCGACUUUUAAUAAGACCUAUAAGCAUAAUUAAACGACAUUCUGGUUAUAAACAAUAGUUUAAAGUAAUAUUUAAGUAAAAUAACUUUAACAUUAUAAGAUGGAAAAAUUGUAUGAAAUUUCAAAUUAUUAAUUCAAAUUAAAUGUUAUAGCUAUAGUUUAUUUUAUUUGUAAUUCGCAUCAAACAUUCCAUUUUUUUGCCAUCUGAUUCGGUAUACAAUUAGCCAUUUUAUACAUUUCGCUAUAACAUGUAUAAAAUGCGUUUGUGUUUGUAUAAAGCGAGAGAAAAGUGUAUAUACAAAUACAUAUAUUUUCGUCUUAUACACUUAUAAUUACACAAAUACAUAUCUAUUAUACAAAUUACAAUGUAUAAAUGAAUUUAUACAAAACUGAACAAUGGUCUGGGAGGCCCUUGUACUUGUCUCAGUUUGUCACCUGAGCCCUUCUACUCACGAAUUUGCCAACUGAACCCUUGAACACACUGAAACCCAACAUUUUAAACCCUUUCUUUGACUACUCAAUGGUGUGUGAACUACAAACGCCACACGUAGCUUUCCACGUCAUUUAAAAAUGCCACGUAGGAAAUGACAUGUUAAAAAUAGGCUAAUUUCUUUCUCUUUCAAACAUUUCUUUCCAAUCGCCUUUUCAACUAGACCCUUCUACUCUCUCUAGUCCCGAUUUACAUUGUUGAUCACCGCGAUUUUUUUCGAUUUUGUGAAGCGUUUGAGUUCGCGUUUCUCUCCAUAGUUGUAAGUUUGUUGACUGAUUUUCAUUCUCUUGGUUUUGCAAUUGUGUUUUUGGUGUUUCAUUUUGAAUUUUGUUGUUUUAGGGUUUAGUAUUGUUACAGAGGUCGUGGUGUGAUUUUUGGGAGGAUUUUGUUUUUUUACAUGCUUAAUAACAAGCCUAAGAACAAUUUGUAGAAGUAUUAUGCAGUCAAUGACAUUUGUCAUGAAUAUGUUUUGAAUCUAGAGUUUUUUCGUAUCUGAUUUUUUUUUUUUAUCAAUUGCGUUGGAUUUCUUUCUUGUUAGUGGUCCAAUUGGAUUAUAUCAGAUUAUUAUAGAGGUUUUUGUUGUAUUUCAUAAAGAAUUACUUUAAAAUUAGGGUUUUUUUUGUCGAUUAGGGCUUUUUGUGAAUUAGGGCUUUUUGUCAAUUAUCUGAAAGUAUUCUCGUGACUUUGCAUGCAUGGUAAAAAUAUGGCGUCAACAAUUAUUACACUUCAAAUGCAUUAUGGGGGAUGUUUUUUAUCAGAUCCUGAACUCAGGUAUGCUAAUGGAAUUUCUGAUCUUGAAAAAAUAAGAAUCGAUAUGGAUGAGCUUCAUAUCAUAUUUUUUCAGAAAUUAGCUAGAGAAUUGGGAGUUGAAAAAGUUGAAACUUUUGGGUGCAAAGUUAACAAAAUAGGUGGCUUUUAUAUGUUGAAUAGUGAUGCUGACAUGUUGAGAUUUAUUAACAACUUAAAGGGUGGGGACUUUGUUGAUGUGUAUGUGGUACAUCAAAUUAGUACUUCUUUAAUUGUUGAGGAUCCUAAUGAGGUGCAAAUAGCCCAAUUGCUUACUCCGAAAAAAGGUAAGCCCCUCUACCCCCCCUCCCCCCCACAUAUUGUUAUAAAUGUUAGGGCUGAUGUGUCUUCCCCUCAACCAUUUGAUAAAAAUGAUACAAAUAUAAAAGAUCAACAACCUAGGAUAGACAAGGGUAAGAAUAAGGAGAUUGCUACUCUGGAGGUUUAACUUCUUCAACCACCUACUGUUUUGCUUUAACUUCUUCAACUUUGUUAAUGAAAUUUAUUUUUAUCAAUACUUCUUAAUUUAGUUUGGAAAAUUUUUGUAUAUAGAAAAAUGACUAUACUACUGGAACUGCAAGAACUGCUACAGGUGGAAGUGGUGGUGCAACUACUUCAACAGCUUCUACAGGUGUAACUGGUGGUGCUACUGGUGGAAGUGGUGGUGCAACUACUUCAGCAGUUUCGACAGGUGUAAUUGCUGGUGGAAGUGGUGGUGUAGCUACUAAAAGACCAGUCACUACUCCAGCAGCUUCUAGAGGUGCAACUACUGCUGCAACAUGUAUUGAUGGAAGUGGUGGUGCAACUACUAAAAGACCAGCCACUACUUCAACAACUUCAGGAGGUGCAACUACUGCUGCAACAACUACUGGUGGAAGUGCUGCAAAUAUUUAUGUAAAUUUUGCAAGUGUUGCUCAACCAACAAGUCAAUUUAGUACUCAACAGUCAACUACUAGUGCUAAUGCUCAAAGAGGAGUAACAAAGUUAAAAGAGGUGGUGCAAAUCCCGAAUAUAAGAGGCCAAGAACAGAGAAGCCAAAAACAACUGGUUUUGGUGUGCUAUUUGGCGCAAAUGGUAGUGUGAUAGAGAGGGUAAGUAUUAUCAUUUAAGGACCUUUAGUUUGAUUCUAUAGAAUCUCUAACUAAUAUCAUUAUUGCCUUUUAACAGUCUGGAACUACUGAUAGAGUGUUACAUUGUGCUACAUUCUAAGUUCAGUGCCUACCAAUAUUGAUCUUGGUUACAAAUCCAAUGGACUAAGGUGGAAGGGUGAAGCUGCAGUUACUCAAAGGCAGCUACAAGAACAAAGUUACAAACGUGCCACUCAGUCCACACCAAGCACUCAAGACACAUAGAUUUCAUAGUAAAGACUCAUGUUUUGCCUAGCUAAAUUCUCAAUGACAUUGUCUAUGAUGCUUUCCACUGUUAGCUUAAUUUUCAACUGUUGUAUUAACUUCCUAUGACAAACAAGUUAUUUUUGCUUAUGAAUUUGCUAUGAUAAUUAUAAGUCUUAAUAUGGAUAUUUUCAUAUAUUAUAUUACAUUAUCAUAGUACUCAAAUGAACAAAUCAUCAAUACAUCUUAAAUACAAAAGAUAGAAACCAAUUGACAACAAUCACAACAACACUGAUAUCAAUACUAAUGCUCGAUCUCCCCUGUCUUUCAUGUCUUCCAUGCCUUCCAUGAUCAACAUUUGUUGAUUGAUUCUUCAUGUAGUAUUGUUCUUGGUAUGUAGGAUCAACCAUAUCAGCCCAUCAAAAAAUCCACAUCCAUUACCAUUUGAAUAUUUUUGACAGCCCCAAAACAUUCUUCCUGGAUUAGUUGAUGUUCUUGACAUCUUAAGUUCAACAUGAAGCCUACAAUAGCAAAAAUAAACAGUCAUUGUGAAGAACAAAAAAAUUAACGAGUAAGAAAAAGGCGAUAAAAAUAAAAUAUAGACUGGGCCUGAUCGAUUGUGGAGAACAAAAAGAAAUUUGGAGUGAAGAAUUUUGGAGAGAGAUAAACGAGUGAGAAAGAGAAGAAAUUUCGGAUAUUUGAAGAAGAAAUUAGGGGAAUUUGAGGAAGAUGGCAAAAAAUGACCGUUAUUGGCUUUUUAAAAGCAUCUUACGCUCCUAAAGUGGGUGUAAUUCAUCCACUUGAACUACUUUUGCCACAUGGGAUGACAUGUCAAAAAAAAGGUUUAAAAUGUUGGAUUUCAAUGGGUUCAAGGGUUCAAUUGGCAAAGUCGUGAGUAGAAGGGCUCAUGUAACAAACUGAGCCAAGUACAAGGGCUACCUACAUUUUAUUCGGUUAGAAAAAGGGUUUAAAUAUUUUAAUUAUUUGCAUAAUUAGUGAACAGAAAAUCCACUGUAGGAAUUCCCAAUUGUUAGGAAUCCGGGUUCAAAUCCCGGCAGCUGAAUACACUUUUUGAUAUUGUAUUUUUCUUAUCAUUUUUGUAAUUAUAUCAUUUUAAUUUUUGUAAAUUAUACCAUAAAAAAGAAUCAAAUUUGUUUAUUUUGAUCGACUUUUAAUAAGACCUACAAGAAAAAUUAAAUGACAUUCUGGUUAUAAACAAUAGUUUAAAGUAAUAUUUAAGUAAAAUAACUUUAAUAUUAUAAGAUGGAAAAAUUGUAUGAAAUAGCAAGUUAUUAAUUCAAAUUAAAUGUUAUAGCGGUAUAGUUUAUUUUAUUUGUAAUUCGCAGCAAACAUCCCUUUUUUUGCCAUCUGAUUCGGUAUAUAAUUAGCCAUUUUUGGUAUAUAAUUAGCCAUUUUAUACAUUUCGGUAUAAAAUGCGUUUGUAUUUGUAUAAAGCGAGAAAAAAGUGUACAUACAAAUACAAAUACAUAUAUUUUUGUCCUAUACACUUAUAAUUAUACAAAUACAGAUCUUAUUAUACAAAUUACAAUGUAUAAAUGAAUUUAUACAAAACUGAACGAUUUGUACAAAAUUGGAUGUAUCUCGUGAAUUAUACAAAUCAAAAGCUCAAUAGCAAACAUAAAAAUUUUUAUGGAGCGCAAUUAUGCAAACUAUAGCUAUAACAUACAAAUAUGAUUUUUAUGUUUGCUAUAUGUGUAAGUUGCUCAUUAUAAAUUUUAUUCAAGGGAAAAUGGUUUAAUAUAUCCCUCAAUUUUGCUAUUUAUAGUUGAUAUUGUAAUAUCUCGCAAAUCGAAAUAACUAGGAAAGAGUUAGUAAUUAGAAAUAGUCGCUUUUGGAAAGAAUGAAAAUCUAGAAAUUUUGUUAAGUUAGAAUAAGUUGAGUUUUGGUCAACUUCAAAUGGCCAUAACUCCUAGAUCAGGAUGAGUUAUGUGUACUUCCAUAUAUGGUAGGAAAGCUCUUGGAAUAAUCUUUUCAACGCCGCUGAGUUUACACGAUUUCGAGUUCGUAUGAGUGAGAUAUCCCCUUUGGAAGUUGGGUUGUUCGAAUAAGGAAAGUCCAAUCCGGAUUUUGGAAGGGAAUUUUAGUCUUUUCCUUACCCCAAUUGUUUUAAUUCGUUUUUAGGAGUUAAUUGGGGUAAAUUCAGAUUUUAGUCAAUUUAGAAAAAAAUUGAAGUUCACGAUAGGGCUUGGAGAAAAGAGAAAAGAGAGCUAGGCCUAACCCAAUACUUAAUCGCCUCAAUCUUUUGGGGAUCUACCGUUACCCCUUUUUUUGAAACUACAUGUCCCAAAAAUGCAACUGAUUUCAACCAAAAUUCACACAUAGAAAAUUUAGCAUAUAGCUUUUGCUUCCCAAGAACACCCAAAACACUAUGAAGAUGGUCGGCAUGCUCUUCCUCACUUUUCGAAUAGCCAAAAUAUCAUCAAUAAACACUAUAACAAACGAAUCAAGGAACGAUUUGAACACCCCAUUCAUCAAACUCAUGAAAGCUGCAGGCGCAUUGGUCAAACCAAACGACAUAACUAGGAAUUCAUAGUUCCCAUAGCGAGAGUCCUAAACGCCGUCUUGGGCACAUCCUCAGAAUUAUUUUCAAUUGAUGGUAAUCGGAUCUUAGAUCAAUCUUAGAGAAAACUGAUGCACCUUGCAAUUGGUAAAAAAGAUCAUCUAUUCGAGGCAAGGGGUACUUGCUUCGGAUAAUGACCCUAUUCAUUUGCUGAUAAUCUAUACACAUUCUCAUACUACUAUCCUUUUUCUUAACAAACAAAACUGGAGCACCCCAUGGGGAAGCACUAGGACGAAUAAAUCCCUUAUCAAGAAGAUCUUGGAUUUGAGCCUUAAGCUCUCUUAAUUCUGCCGGAGCCAUGCGAUAUGAAGGGAUAUAAAUGGGACGCGUACUAGGCUCUAAAUCAAUGCAAACAUCUAUAUCUCUAUCCGGAGGCAUACCAGGCAAAUCAUUAGGAAAUACUUCUAUAAAUUCCAACACCACAGGAAUAGACCCAAUGGAUGGAGCCUCAAUCUCAACAUCCCUAAUAUGAGCGAAAUAAGCCAAAAAUCCCUGCCCUAUCAAUUUCUUAGCCCUAAUGGAGGAUAUGAUCUUAGUUCUCUUAGGCUUGUACACCACUUCCCACUCUAAUUUUCCCUUUCCAGAAUUUCUAGAGUUACGAACUUUGUAUUACAAUUAAAUACGGCAUAAUAGGGAGUCAACCAAGUCAUGCCUAAGAUUAUGUCAAAGUCAGUCAUAUCCAAAAUCACCAAAUCAGCCCAAGUCUGAAAACCUAUAAACAAAAUAGGACAAGCACGAUAGACAUGGGUAACUAUGACUGACUCUCCAACUAGAGUAGAAACAUGAAUAUGGGCAUCAAGUAUAUCACAAAUCAUAUCAAACUUUGAGGCAAAUCGCAUAGAUAUAUAAGAAUAAGUAGAACCCGAAUUAAAUAACACUUUAGCCAUCCGGUCAUAGACAAGAAUAGUACAUGUGAUCACCGCAUCAGACGCCUCUGCCUUAUUCUUUCCCGGAAAGGCAUAACACUGAUCCCUAGCAUCUUGAAGAACCACUUCCCUUCCUGGUUGCACAUUACCUCUGCUUGCAUUACCAUUUCCUCUACCUUUAUGACCUCGCUGAUUACCUCCUCACCCACCUUGUGGAUGCCCUCGACCAUUAUUACCAUUUCCCGCAGGUACCACUGCUCUAGUCUACUGCGCGGACUCAAAUACACGUGAGUGGGGACAAUCUCUCCCCAUAUGCCCAAGUUCUCCACAGUUGUAACAAGUACGAUAAAAAGAUGGUCUGCCGCCCGUCGAAGGCGCGACUCCCUGGCUAUCCUAAAAAUUAUGAGAUGGAGUUUCCGAGUAACUACAUGUAGAGGUGGGCAUAUCAAACUGAAUUGGCUUGGCUGCAAGCGUUGGCCUUUCGGAUCCCUUGGAAUAAGAACCUUGAAAGUUACCCGAGUUCUUGGCCCUUUUGCCCAUGCCUUAGCUUGACCGUCUCACCUCACCCCCUCACUUUCUUAACAUAGUCUGUUACCUCAUUGAAGCUCCUCCUUGCAGAAAUCAUAUGAAUAGAUAAUACUUGCAACUCAGAAUUUAAUCCCCUAAUAAAUAAUCAGAUUCUCUCUUCCUCAGUAGUCACCAAUUGAGUAGCAUAUCUAGACAAAGCAUGAAGCUUGGCCUCAUAAGCAACCACAGUAAUACCACAUUGCUCUAAAGCUAUGAACUCAUCCUUCUUGUGAUCCCUCAAAGUCCUAGGCACAUACUUCUCUAGAAACAGAGCAUGAAAUUGGGUCCAAGUAAGUGGAGGUAAAGUAGAAGAUCUGCAUUCCAUAUAAGCUCUCCACCACUGCUUAGCCUCACCUUGAAGUUGGAAAGACACAAACUCCACCCCAUGCUAAUGAGCAAUACCCAGUUUAUGAAGCCUUUCAUAGCAAUCCAGAAUGAACUCAUAAGCAUCCCCAUUCUCAGAACCAAGAACUACCGGAGGUUUUAGCUUCAAAAACUUAGUCAACAUUUCAUGCUCAUUACCAGUCAUAACAGAACCCAACAAAGGACGGAAGAAAACAUCAUUACCUCCAGUCCUACCCACCUUGGGUGCAGUGCUAGCGACAAGAGGAUUAGUAGGAGCUUGAGUUGCUUGUGCAUAAGGAAGCACUCUAGGAUCAACCAACCCUUUCAAGAAUGACAUGAUCUGUCGAGCUAACACUGGGUCUAUGGGGGAACAUCGGUAGUCUUAGCCUGCACCUUUUCCUCUUGUCCCAAAUCCUCAACAUCGACAUCAACAUUCUGCUCUAUCUCUUCAUGAUGCGCAAGAGGGUUUUCAUUCAUAGAAGCAUUCUCAACAGGAGCUCCAUUUCCAGCAGGUGCUACUCUUCCACGACCUCUACCCUUAGCUCUUCCUCUACCCCUGCCUUGACCGUGACCUCUCGCUGUAGAUUCCUUAGCUGGAGCAUUGACAGGAGCUACGGGCCUAACGCCGUUGAAUCUAGCAUUAACUAUCUGCGGACAGAAGAGUGAAGGAGGUUAAAUACCAAUAUGAAUCGACAAAUACCAAUUGGAAUCAAGUUAUAGCACGAAAAGAGACAAGAGAAAAAUAGAGAUUUCCUAAAGUCCUAUAGCCUCUCGAAUAAAAGUAAAGGGGUCCCCAUAUCGUUCGCGAGACUCUAUUAGACUCAUUUCGGUACAUCGAGACCAAUGAACCUAGGCUCUGAUACCAACUUUGUCACGACCCAGACCGUCAAGAUUGACACCAACACUAACUCUCCGGUGGGAAAACCACUACUAUAACCCAAACCAAGCAACUUAACAAAAUAUUAAGGCAUUUAAGUUACAGAAGCAAGUUAAAUACUAAGAAAAUAAACAGGGAGUUCCAAUAAACUCCAAUAAAAGUCUAACAACGAACCAACAAUGUGGAAGAAAUACCCUAGAACCUGAAAGUCAAUGUACCAAAACAUCUAACAAUGAACCAAGUCUAAAUAAGAAGGGAUGCAACUCCAAUCUAAUGAACUAAUCCACUAACUAGAACAAAUGUCUAAGUCCGAAAAUGGUGGACAUAGACGAGAAAGAACCCAUGGCAGCCCAGAAGAAUUGGCUCACCCUUGAAUUUGAACUAUCAUUGAUCUCCUAAGCGAGGUCUGUCAGUAACCGCGUGAAGAUGCCCUGUACUCAACAAAAAUAAAAUAAGAGCAAGUGCAGUAUCAGUACACAACCACAAUGUAUUGGUAGGAUAACGCGACUAUCCCACUAAGUGCAACAUAAGCAAGUCAAGACAACUUUAUAAUCACAUGUAUAUAUAUCAAUAUAUACAAUAUUAUCAACAUUUACGAACAACGAACAACUUCACAUUUUAUAUCAAAUCAUUGGUCCUCUCAUGGAACCCAAACCCAAACAGUUAGUAUACCAUAACGUGGUAUCCGAUCCCAUAAUUGUGCCGAAACGUGGAAACCGAUCCCAUAGUUAUGCUAGAAUGUGGCAACCGAUCCAAGUUAGUUAUGUCGGAACGUGGCAACCAAUCUAAGUUAGUUAUGCCGGAAUGUGGCUACCGAUCCAUUCAACACACCACAAUCUCAAUCACAAGUAUAUCAUCAAGAUCAUACAUUUAAGUCAUGAUUUCAUGGCAAUCAUCAUUCAUCUAUCUCAUUUACAACAAGUGUGAUCAACAUUGCAACAUUCAUACAUAUGUAAGUACCAUAAGGAAGCAAUAACAAACAUACAUCACACAAUUAUAGAAUCACAACCAUCACCUACCUUGAAACAAGCUUGAAACCCUAAGAAACUUGAUCCUUCCCUUUCCAGAUUCGUUGCACUUGUUCUUGGUCUACAAACAAUCAAUAAAAUACGGGAAUCAAUAAAUAAUCCCUAAUUAACCAAAUUACUAACAAUUUUAUGAACCCUACAUCAUACCCACGAUCUCAAUUAUCCAAAUUAGGUUGUUUCCACUAUAUAAUCUAUAACAAAAUCCUCCUCCAUCAAUAUUCACCCAUUCGAUUAUGUUCUACAAAUCGAAAAAUGGAUACAAGGAGUGAAAAGCUUACAUUUAGCCUGAAGAAUGGUGAAAAAUGAGUAGGAGUCGCCUGGGGUUCGUUCCUUAGCUCUAAAGUUAGAAAGUACAUAAUAAGGUCGUUUAGGAGUUUGUUAACGACCUUACGUCGCAUCGAGCCCGCCACAACGACCAUCAUCCCGCUGUAGCGUCCCCGUCAGAGCGGCAAUAGAGAGCUAUUUUGAGAAAUCCAAAAUUCCCAUUUCACAACACACCUCUAACCAACGAUGCUCAGUAAAAUACCUUUAGCGCUAAGAUCGAUUCCGGGAGUUCUACUCAUCCGAAUUCAAUUCCGUAAAGUCGUACGAAUUUCUUAACGAGUUAUCUAGCUACUCAUGUAAUCAAAAUCAUAAAUGAUUCACUUGAUUGUUACCAGAUUUCCCUACACCUCAAAGACUUCGAUUUCGUCCAAAUCUGGACUAGGUUUGGAAAAACCAAAUACUACAAAAAGUUUUCCGGCCCCAAUUCUUCACCCUUUGGCAUAAAGGCAAGUGUUCAUAAGUAAAAAAGUGAUGGCUUUUGAACAAGGGGGGGAUAGUGUUUUGAGGUAUUAAGGUGGAUUGUAUGAUUGAUUUCAAGGGUAAUUGGGAUGAUCACCUACCUCUAAUUGAGUUGCUUACAACAACAAUUUCCAUUCUAGCAUCUAGAUAGCUCCUUAUGAAGCUCUUUAUGGGGGAAGAUGCAAAUCUCCUAUUGGAUGGUUUGAAGUUGGUGAAACAGGGUUGAUAGGACCACACUUAGUUCAUCAAGCUAUGGAGAAAAUGAAAGUCAUUCAAGAGAGGUUGAAAACAACACAGAGUCGUCAAAAAUCGUACACUGAUGUUAGGAGAAGGGAGUUAGAGUUUGAGGUAGAUGAUUGGUAUAUCUUAAAUUUUCACCCGUGAAGGGUGUUAUGAGAUCUGGUAAGAAGGGGAAACUUAGUCCCCGGUAUAUUGGCCCUUAUAGAAUAUCGAAAAGGGUUGGUAAUGUAGCUCAUGAGUUAGAACUACCACAAGAGUUAGCAGCGGUUCAUCCGGUAUUUCACAUCUCCAUGUUGAAGAAAUGCAUGGGAUAUCCUUCAUUGAUCAUACCAACCGAGGAUAUUGGGAUCAAGGAUAGUUUGUCUUAUGAGGAGAUUCCUGUUCAGAUUUUAGAUCACCAAGUUCGCAAGUUGAGAACAAAAGAAGUAGCAUCAGUCAAAGUCCUUUGCAGGAACCAAUUUGUUAAGGAAGCUACUUGGGAAGCUGAAGAGGAUAUGAAGAAGAGAUAUCCACAUCUCUUCGAAUCCGGAAAAGUUCCGAAUUAACGUACUAAUACUUUUCUUGGUUUUUUAUUUGUAAGUUAGCAUGUUGUAAUUGCAUUGCUUGAUUGGGUGUUUGAGCUGGAUGUUGCAUGUUACACCCUUAGCCUAGUAAGAGUAAUCUCAUUCGAGGACGAACGUUACCAAAGGAGAGAUAUGGUAACAUCUCGCAAAUUGAAAUAACUAGGAAGGAGUUAGUAAUUGGAAAUAAUCGUUUUGGGAAAGAAUGAAAAUCUAGAAAUUUUGUUAAGUUAGAAUAAGUUGAGUUUUGGUCAACUUCAAACGGCCAUAAAUCCUAGAUCAGGAUGAGUUAGGUGUACUUACAUAUAUGGUAGGAAAUCUCUUGGAAUAAUCUUUCCAACGCCGCCGAGUUUGCGCGAUUCCGAGUUCGUAUGAGUGAUAUAUCCCCUUUGGAAGUUGGGUUGUUCGAAUAAGAAAAGUCCAAUCCGGAUUUUGGAAGGGUAUUUUAGUCUUUUCCUUGCCCAAUUGUUUUAAUUCAUUUUUACGAGUUUAAUUGGGGUAAAGUCAUAUUUUAGUCAGUUUAGAAAAAAAUUGAAGUUCACGCUAGGGCUUGGAGAAAAGAGAAAAGAAGAGAAAGGAGAAGAGAAAUUAAGAAAUCGUCAAGAACGUUCGAGUAUAGCUUGUGGAUUUCUUCAAGGGGUGAUCCCUACGAGGUAUGUGAGAUUACAUAACGUUGGGUUAGUUCACCUAUGCGCCAAUAAUGAUUCAAUUCAGCAAAGUUUAUUAGAUUCGAAAGUAAAUCCCUUGAAUUCUUGAUGAAGUUCGUUUGAAUCUUUGUGGAUUGUGUUGUUGGAGUUUUCUUGAGAUUGAUUCAUGUUUUUAGUUGUGUUUUUGAGUAGAAUCUGAUGUUUAUUGAGGGUAUUAAUGAUUCUAAGUGUUUGGGGAAAGAACCAAUUGAGUUUAGAGGGUUUAGAGAUGAAAAACGGAGAAGAAAAGUCGUCAAACACCUGGGGAUAGGGGUGGGGCACCACUCCAGCCAGCGCCCCCCAAAAGGGUCUCUGAAUCUUCAACCUUAGGGCGCCGCGCCAGUCAGAGCGCCCCAGACCAAUCCCUGAAUGUUGAGGGCUGGCGCCGCGCGCCUCUCAGAGCGCCAGGGACGCCAGUUCUCCCCAUUCGUUCCCCAUCUUUUUGUACUUGUUCCUUAGCAAUGUACCUAUGUUUCUUAGUUGAUUCCAUCACUCUUAGGUACAUGUAAACAUCAUGAAAUCAUCCAUAAACAUGAGAUCAUGAACCUUGAAUCCAUAAUUCAGUUCAAGGGAAGUUAAGAGUCAAGUCUAGAAGUUAAGAAGCAAGUCAAGAGAAGUUUAUAAAGUUUUCAAAAGUCUUUCACAAACGUUUUAACUUUGUUUUAAAACUCAAGUUUCAAGUUAAGCAAAGAGUAAAGAGUUGAGUUCAUUUCUCAAAAAUCUAUAAGGGAACUAAGUAUUCCAAGAGUUUAAAAUGUUUUCACAUUUGAACAAGAAAGGGAGACACCGAUUUCCGAGAGAGUUUUUAAGCUAAAGUUUUGAGUAAUUAUCUCAAACCAAAGAAACAAGUUUUAAUUUUUAAUCAUAUGAGCUAAGUAUAUUUUGGGAGUAGUAUUGAGCACCAAUAUGGGGAUGCGAGUUCAUAUUAACUCAAGUUUCCAUAAACCAUGUAGCCAUCAUGGGUAGUAAAGGAUCAUACUUUUUAGAUGACUCCUUAAUUAAGUUGCUUUUUAGCAUAGACUAGUGGAUCCACUUAGUUAAGGCGUUCUAUAUGUUGGAUAUUGCAUGUGUUUUAUUGCUUUAUAUUGAGUUAAGUUAUUCGGGAGUUAAGUAAAGCCAAAGUAAGUGUUUCUUUCUGAUUCUUUUCAAGCUGAAGUUAUGUUUAGCAUUCCAACUCGCAUACUCGUACAUUCAAUGUACUGAUGCCAAUUGGCCUACAUCUUAUUAUGAAGCAGACUCAGGUAACCAGGAUCAACAUCCAGCGCCUCGUUGAUCCAGUUGAGCACUCAGAGUUAGUUGGUGAGCCUCCUAGCUUUCCAGAUGAUCCUUUUUUAUUGCUUUCAGUAUUUUAGUUCAUUAGGAUGUCGUGGGUCUUGUCCCGACGUCCAUCUCAGUUGUUUACGCUUCAUAGACAGAGUUAGUGAUGUUAGUUCAUGAGUCUUUACUUUCCCUUUUCAGUUAAUUUGUGACUUGAGUUGCCACUUUGGCAGUGAAUGUUAUUUAAUACAUUCUAAGUUAUAUUUUUAACAGUUCAAUUUACUUGUUUUAAAAGUAUUUAUCUUGAGUAAAGUCUUCCGUUGAGUAAAUAAGUCAGGCCAAGGGUUCGCUUGGGGCCAACAAUGGUUCUCGAGUGCCGGCCAUGCCCAGGGUGUAGGCUCGGGCAUGACAGAUAUACCCUUGGUAGGCUCAUAUAUACCCCUACUGUUAUAUAAAUGACUCAUAUAUAUCAUUUUCCUCUAACGGAAGUGAAAAAAAUAAUUUAAAAUUUACAUUCUUAAAUUAUUUUUUUGAAAAAAUAUAAUCCAUAUGAGAUAUAUCGGGUCCUCCUCAUACGUAUUCUUUCUUGAUUUUUUUGUUUCAACGACUGAUUUAAAUUUAUUAUUUUGAUGGUCAUAUUUAUUUAUUUUCCACUAAUUUUCUUUUAAAAUUUAUUAUAGAUGCCCAUUUUAUUUUCUCUACAAAUACAAAAACUAAAUUACAAUAUAGCUUCAAAAAAAUUAAUUUUGAUUGUUUUCUUUAUACUAAAGAUUGAAAGAAAAAAUAAUAAGAAACUCAAAUAAUGAUAAUCAAAGUAGUCAAAAAAAUAUAUUUUAUGUAUGAAAAAGAUUAAAAUAUGCCUGGAACUUUGAUAGAAGGAUCAUAUAUACUCCUACACGAAUUUAAAAAAAAUGAAAAGUCAAAAAAAUAAAUAUAAAACUACUUUGUUCACUUCCAUUAGAUGAAGGGUAUAUGUGAGCUCAUUUUGUAACGAUAGGGAUAUAUGUGAACCAUUUGUAUAAUGAUAAGGGUAUACAUGAGUCACUUUGUCAGCUCUAAAUGACAAAGUUAAGGAGUAUAUCAGGAUAUUUUUCCUUUAUUCCAUAAGCUUAAUAUAAAAAUAUAAGAAUUAAAACCUUAAUUUCUCAUUGGCAGCACAUUAAUUGUUUUAUAAUUUGGGUGAAGAAACCAAUUGGAAUGAAACAAAAUUAGUUACGUUUGAAACUGAAAGUUUGAGAUAUAAUAGUAGUAAUAGUUAUUAUAUAAGUUAUUAACAUCAUAAUUGUCACAUGACAUUUUGUCAUUCAUUUAGUGUGAUAGUGUCGUAAUCUUUUUUUCUUUCUUCUUAUUUUGCACUUAUUAUUCAAUAAUUUUAUAUAUUUUAUCCAUGACCUUAUCUUAUUUUAAUUUUAUAACUCUAUUAUAUUUACUUUUUUUUUCCUUUUAUAAUAUUAUAAGUGACGAAUGGUGUUUGACAUUAAAAUCAUCAAAAAUAAUACAAUUUAUUCAAACGUUAUAUCAUCAAAUUAACUAAGUGCAUGUAAAAAUUAUAGAAGGUUUAGUGUACCUGACAAAAAUACAAUCAUUAGCAAUAAGGCACUAACACUCCAAUAUACACAAGGUCAUUGGGUUUAUAUUAGUUGAACUUUUCAAAUGCAAAAAAAUUACUAUUCUUACGUGAUCCUACUUCUUGUCCUAAUUAUUUAUCUCCAAUUUUUUCGAUAUAGACUUCUUAUAAAACACAAUUCUCAAGAUUUUAAAAUAUUAGCCAAACAAGCUACUCCCUUUUAUCCAUCUUAAUUUAUAAUAGUUGGAUCCAAAAUAGUUAGUCUAAAAAUAAAUGUUAUAUUUAAUUUUUUUUAGAUAUAAUUAAUUAUUUAUUUUCACCUUUACUCUCACUUUAUAGUAACCUGUAGGCCAAUUUUUUUAUUCUUUUCAAAAGUGAAGUCUUUGGCCAAACUGUUGAUAGAAAAUAAGUGUGUUUCGAGAAAAAACCAAAAGUUAUUUUUUGGAAGAUAAAAAGAGUAGCCUUUGCCUGAAAACACUUUAUUGAAAAAUAUUUUAUAGAAAAAUACCCUUAAAUUAUGUUUUAAAAGUUUGGAGAAACAUUAAUUAUUCGUUCAAAAGUGUUGUGUAAAUUUGGCCAACACAAAUACUUUCUAACCAAAUAUAUUUAUUUUUUCAAAAUAAAUUUAUUUUAGAAGUUUGGCUAAAUAUAUUGUAAAUAUGCAGAGAAAUUAAUGUGUUUGAAAAAGAGAGUCGUAUUAAAUUGAAAUUAAUGAAUAAUAAGAAUAAUUUAAUAUUUGGUAUCUAACUAAUAAAAAUGAAGUAAUAGAAUAUUCGUCAAAUUUGAAUUUUAUUUUUAUUAUUUUUAAAACAAAAAAAAGGAAUUUUAUACAUUUUGAUGUUGAGAAAACAAACAAUUUAACUAUUUAGUAUUCAGAUCUCAAUGCAACAUCUUAAUAUUACUUCUAAAUUUUAAUGCAUAUCUUAAUGUUCAGAUGAACAAUCAGAUUCAGAUAUUUUAAUCUUCAUGAAAACAAAUGAGUCCUAACUCCUAAGUGUCGUGUGGGUGGAGGGGGUAUGAAGGUUGGGCUGAAGAUGUAGUGUAUUGAAGGGUGAAAGAACAAAAACAAUAUCAAGUCAUAAAAAGAAUCAAAUUUGUUUAUUUUGAUUGAAUUUUUAUAAUACCUAAGCAAAAUUAAAUGACAUUCUGAUUAUAGACAAUCUAUAUCUACAUCUAUAUUUAUAUAUAUAUAAUAAAAGAUAAAUAUAGACAAAGUGAUGUGACACAUCUCUAUGACCUUCAUUUGCAUUUAUCUUUUUUCUCCAUUUUUUGACAUUUUUUCUUAUUUAAAUUAAUUAUUGUAUUGUAAAAGUAAAUUACUUAAUUUAUUAUAACUAAAUAUUUUAUUAAUGAAGGAACAUUUACAACAAAUACUCUUCACAUUCUUUUUUUAUUUGUUUGCCUCACUUUUAACCAUAAAAUGAAAAUAUUAUUUUAUAUUUUAAGUAUUUUUCUCUUUAUCGUUUAAUUUAUUCAUAAGGAUUUAUUAUCCAUGACUUACACCUCUAUAAUUUUUACUUUAAUUUUAAUAAUAUUCAUAACUCCCAUAGUUUUUAUGUUCAUAACCUCCAAACGUAAAUUUGUAAGUUGAUAAUGUCUUAUGGUAUUCCUUUAUUUUGCCUAUAAAUUCAUAUUUAGUUUCAUGAGGAUUUACAUUCAAGAUUAUCCUUUCUCUUCUUCAUCAUAUUGGUUUGUGAAUGAAUUAACAAGUAACAAAAAAAAGUACAAGAAGGUAAGAAAUAUUUCAUUUCAUUCUCAAGUCUUUAUUUUUUCAUUUCCUCUAUUUUGCCUAUAUACAUUCAUAUUUAAUUUCAUUCACAUUCAAGAUUAUCAUUUCUCUUCUUCAUUAUAUUUUUUGUAAAUUAACAAAACAUGUAACAAAAAAGAAGUACAUGAAGGUAAGAUAUAUUUCAUUCUCAAGUCUUUAUUUUUAUUUUUAUUUACUUGGACAUGCUUUCUUAAUAUUUUAUGUAUGUAUGUAUUAUCAUUCACUAAGCAAGUAUGAUUAAAAAAAUAUACCUUAGUAAUAAUGAAUAAUGUGUUGUUAGUAUGCAAUUAUUCUUUCUAAUAGUCAAUUUUCGGGAUAUAAUAUAAUUUGAUUAUAAUAUUUGUUAGAUUUCAAGAGAUGAUUAUUGUUUAGUGUUGUUAGUACUACUACAAAAACACUAUAUACAUAUAUUACAUAUAGUUUAAAUUUCUUCUUUCUUUUAAUAUAAUUAUUUUUUAAUUGGUCUAUGAUAUUUUAUGUAUUCAUAUAAUUUUUUUUUAUUCAAUUGAUAGGAUAUGAUGAAGAAUUUGACAUAUGGAGCAAAAUAUGAUGGCGGAUCUACUUACAAAGAAAGAUGAUAGAAGAGGGGGGAAAAAGCAUAUUAGAGAUUAUUUUUAAUAAUUUUUUUUACUUGACUUGUAUUAGUUACUUAGCUACUUUUACUAAAAAGAAUUAAACUUUCGUUUGUAUAAAUAAUUUAGCUACAUGUAUUGUCAAUACUUAUCAUUCGGUCCUUUAGUAUUCUACUUUUUUUAUGAAGCACAAUUAAUAUAAUUUUCCCAUCUCAACAACAAAAAAAAUCAUGUUGAUUAGGAGUUUCAUUUUUAUUAUACUUGCAAAAAUUAAUUAAAAAAUAAAAUAUUAAUUUCAUGAUGCCAUUUUUUUGCUUAUGUACCAAUCUAUUUUCAUCGCUCUUCUUUUUCGUUUGAAAUGUAUUUAUAAUAUUUAUGUAGUCACCUAUUAUUAUAUUUUUUUGUUCAAUUUUUGUAUUUUCACCCCUUAUUUUCAUUUAUUUAUUUUACAAAUAAAAUCAAUACAUAAUUAUUAAUGCAUUUAAUGUCUAAUAAUAUUGUACAUUUAAAUUAUUUAUAACUCAUGUCUCUUCGUCUUACUUUUAACUUCUAAUCUUAAAUAUUAUUCACAACUUUUGUAUGUUUCAUUUUUCAUAGUUCUUAUAAAUAUUUAAUUAGUGUUUAAAGAAUUAUAAUAAACAAAUGUAAUAACAAAGACACAGUAAAAAAAAUUCAAUUUUUUUUACGAAAUUAGAAUUUGUAUAGAAAAUUAGUACUCCUACAAAAGAUAGAGGAAAUUAAAACAUACAAAAUAUUUUCAACAUAAUACAAUAUAUUGUUAUUUCAAAAUAUUACCUCAUAUUCCAUUUACUUCACCACGAUGAAUAUUUUGUUGUAAUAUAUACAUAUGAAUUGUUUGCACUUAAAAAGAUGCAAAAAGAAAUUCUAUUUAUAUGUUUAAAAAACGAUGAAAAAACGUAUCAUAUAGCAGAUGAAGAGAAAUAUCAAUAUUAUCUUAUAUAUUCGACACUAAUCUAAGUAUACAUUUUACAUAUUAUUAUCUUAUAAAUAUUUCAUAUAGCCGCGCGAAGCGCAGACAAUUUCACUAGUAUUUUAAUAAUAUUAAGUAAAAUAACUUUAACAUUAUAAGAUUUAUUUAAUAAGCUUAAUAUAAUAAUAUCAAAAUUAAGUGAACCUUAAUUACUCAUUGGCAGCGUAUUAAUUGUUUUAUAAGUUGGGUGAAGAAACUAAUUGGAAUCAUGAAACAAAAUUAGUUACGUUUGAAACACAAAGUUUGAGAUAUAAUAGUUUUUAGGCUUAACUCAUCUGCGUCCCCUUAAAGUUAUCCGUAUAAUUCACUUAGACAUUUCAACUAGGGCUAGUACCUAUUGAACACCUAAAAUAUUCAAAAUGUGUAUCUAUUAAACACACAAUACUGAUGUGAUAAAAAACGUGUUCUUCACUUUCCAUGAGCGCGUGAAGAUACCCAAAUAACAUUUUCCUUUUUCUUUUCCCUGUAAAAAGUGCACUUUUUAAUAUAUUGACCCUUGACAUUAAUUAACAAAGAAACCAAAUAAAAUUAACUAACAAUAAAAAAAAAACACGUCUUCUUCCCAAGAUGUUGCCUCAACGAUUUCCAUCCAACAUCAUUCCACCAUCUAUGUACUUACCAGUUACCUCUCAUGCCACUCCACUCCUCCAACUUCCUCUCACCCUCUCCAAUUAUUCUUCUGUUUUUUCCUUUUUAUUUUUCAUGUUUCAAAUAUUUCGGCGAAGUUCCAUUUAUUCCGAUAAAAGAAAAUUGAAUCAAUUCUUUUUCCGACAAACGAUUGUUCAUGUUUCUUAUAAAUGUGAUAAAUGUUUAUUAAUCGAAAGAAAGAAGAUGAAGGCAAUGGAUAUGAGGUGUUGCCAAUGAAAAGGGAAUGAAAAAGUGGGGCGAUGAUUUAUAUGUGUGUCGGCGCCGGCUAGAAGGUGAAACAACCUUAACACGAAGAAGAUGAAGAAGACGGGAGGGUGAGGCAUUGAUUAAAAAAGUUAAUUUUUAUUUUCUUAAAAUUCUUUUGGAUUAUUUAAAUAGAAUUUUUUUAAAAUUCAAUUCAACCACCAUGUGUCAUUGUUUCAUUGGUAUACUGGCUAUGUAUUUGCGUUUGAGCUACACACAAUUUUGAUUUUCAACUGAUUAUAAUUUUGUGUAGAUUAAAGUGUUCAAUAGGUAUUAAUCUUAGUUGAUGUGUCUAAAUGAAUUAUGCGGACAAUUUUAAGGGGCCGCAGAUGACUUAAGCCUAGUUUUUCUAUGGAGUAUGUUAUUAGCAUCAUAAUUGUCAAUUUGUCACUGACAUUUUGUCUUUUAUUGCUACUUGAAUUUAUUGUAUGGUACUGACAAAUCCAUUGUGAUUAUAAGAGAAAAGACAUAAAUUCCACCUUGAACUUGUAUCGAAAAGUUACUUACACGCUUAAACUAUCAUGAUGACCUAUUACACACUUUACUAUUCAAAAGUGAAUUUAUUACCCCUUAAAACUGAUGUGGCAAAUAAAUAAAAUGAAAAUAAAAACUAAAUGCGUCAGUUGGAAAUAAAAAUAAAAAUAAUAAUUAAAAUCAGUUGUUCACCAGCCCCCCACCUUCCUCCACUCCACCCCUACCCCCACACCUCUCCUUCAAACCUCUUCUUCUUCACACCUAUUCUUCUUUUUCACAUCUCUUCUUCACACCUAUUCUUCUUUGGGUAAAGGCAUAAAUUUCCCCCUAAACUUGUACACAAAAGUUAUUUACAAACUUUUACUAAUGGGGUGACCUAUUACACACCUUAAGUACACAAAAGUGUAUUUAUUUACCCAUUUCGUCACCCAACCCAAGACAUUAUGCAUAGGGUGAGAGCCACAUAGUAAAAGACCCCAACCCGAUUCAUUUGACCCAAACCCGUUUCUUUUCACCGAAAUCCAUUUUAUUUUACCAUAGUCCAUUUAUUUCACCCACCUAUUUCGUUUCUCUAAGAACACCAAAACCUAAUUGAAAAUUUCAUCUGUAAAUCCUAAUUUUAGCUAAAGAUUUCUUCGAUUCUGUAGUGUUUUUGAAGCAUCAUUGUAGUUUUAAUCAUCUAAUCAAGUUUUCACUGUCAUAUUUGAAGAACAUUGGUGUGUUGUCGAUCGAGGCGUUCAUUGUUUGGUGGAAGCAAAUCGGUGGUUACUAGGGUUUGGUGGGUACAAUCGAGGCGUUCAUCGUUCAUAGUGUGUUGUCGUCUCCAUUUCUGAAAUGUCAGUCAGACAUCUCUAGGGUUACUUCAUAGUUCAUACUUUUUAGCUUAGGAUUAUUUCGUCUUUAAUUUUUUUCAAGUUUACUGUAUGUCGUCUUUCAUUUACAUGAUUCCCCUUUGUUGUAUGAAUUUUGUUGUUGUAUGUGUUUUAUCGUUGUUGUUCAGGUCAACUAUUAACAUUAUUUUCAGGUUAAAAUGUCUUUUGAAUUGAUUACUUUGAGAUUUUACCACGGUGGUGUUAUGAAGAUUGGGAAAAAAGGAUACAAAGGGAAACCAUAUCAUGGUGGAGAAGUUUAUGAGUUUUUAGAUGUUGAUAUAGAUAGGUUAUCUUAUUUUGAAUUGAGGGAUUGUCUGAAAAGUUGGGGUAUGAACUUGGACAAUGUGUGUUGUAUGUGAAACUUUCUAGAAGUACUGCUAUGUUAGAAAUCAAAUCUAACUAUGAUACUACUUUAAUUGCUGAGUGUUUGAGUCAUGGAGAUAUUUUGGAUUGUUUUGUGUGUCACUUUAUUGCUGAUCCAGUUUUGGUCUCACCUUCAUUGAAAUAUGGGGAAAGUGGAGUAGGUGUGAGAGCAUCUCAAAACAGUAGGCCUAAUGCAUCUUUUGAUGCUGAAUUAGAACCAACACACGAGGCCCAAGAAAAUGCCUCAAACCUUGCCCCUGCCAAUUCAAAUACAUCUUCUCCUGUACACUCUUUCACUGCUCCAAAUACUCCUCCUCCUACUCAUCAAACUCCAACCCUUAUCCAUCCCUCUAGUGAUCCAACUCUUGACCCUGUCCAUUCUUCCUCUGAUCUAAUUUCUGACACUGUCCAUCCUUCUAAUGAACAAGAUUCAGAUAGAGAAUCAUUGAAUGGGGGAUUUAAUGGGAGUGAUGUAGAUGAUGAGCUAAGAAGUUUUAGGGAGGAAAAGAGUAAAAGAAAAAGAGAAGGAAAAGGGGAGAAAAAGCUCCAUUACCUGAUCAUGUCAAGUUAGGAACAGAAAAAAGGGCAAGAUGCUGGGUAUGAUGAAUCUACAUGUGGUAAUAGAAACAACUUAGAAGGCAAGCUAGUUGAUGAUGAGCCUUAUUAUCCCUCAGAUGAAGCUUCCAGUUUUGAAACAGAUCCAGAUGCUUUCAGUGAUGAUGAAUGAGAGGUUCAACAAAGAGAGAGUUAAGCCAAGAAGGAGAAAGAAGGUGAAUAGAGUUGUAUUUGAUACAUUUUCUCAGAAAAUAGUGUGAGAAUUGGGUCUUGUAUUUGAAAGUGUUAAUGAGUUUAGAUCUGUUAUUACCAAAUAUGUUGUUGCUGAACAUGUUGAAAUUGAAAUGUAUAUUAAUGAACCAACAAUGGUAAGGGUUAGGUGUACAGUUGGUUGUCCUUGAGUUUUAUUUGCUAGCUUUGAUUCUAGGGCAAAUAGUUUUGUUGUAAGGACAUACAAUUCAGUUCACAAAUGUGUUCCUACUAAUAAGAACAAACUUUGUAAUAGCAAGUUCUUAUCUAGUCAUUACAGUGAAAGGAUAAAAGAACAACCUGACAUUAGAAUCUUUGAGUUUCAAGGGCUUAUUAAAAAAGAAUUGAAUUUAUAUGUUGAAGAACAGUGUGUAGGAGAGUAAGAAACAAAGUAUUACAAGAGCUAAUGGGUGACUAUGUUCUUGAGUUUUGGUGGAUUUUGGACUACAAAGAUGAGUUGCUAAGAACUAAUCCAGGUAGUACAUGUGUAGUCAAGCUUCAUGAGGAAACAUUUGAAAAUGGUAGAAAAAUGUUUCAAGGCUUCUACAUAUGUUUUGAUGCAAUGAAGAAGUCAUUCUAGGCUGGUUGUAGGAAGUGCAUUGGUUUGGAUGGUUGUUUUCUAAAGGGAGUAUCUAAAGGUCAAUUAUUGGUUGUUGUUUAUAAAGAUGGGAACAAUCAAAUGCUGCCACUGGCAUGGGCAGUAGUUGAAGUUGAAAAUAAGUUUACUUGGAAUUGGUUUGUCAAUCUUCUAAAGGAAGAUCUUCAGUUGGGAGAUGGUACAGACCUCAUAAUUAUAUCAGAUAUGCAAAAGGUUAGAAUAUUUAUCGGUUUUUUGAUUUAUUUCAUGUCUUGAAUUUAUUUAUGAAUGUCUUAGUUUCUCUAAUGUCUUAGUUUCUUAGUUUCAUGUCUUGAAUUUUCUUAUAGGGUCUUAAAAUUGUCAUAACUGAUCAUUUGCCAAAUGUUGAGCAUAAAAUAUGUGUUACACAAAUCCUUGCUAACUGGUCAAAGAGAUGGAGAAGUAUUGAGAGAAAGAAAUGUUUCUGGAGGUGUGCAAGGUCUACUUUUGAGGCUGAGUUAAAGGAUAAUAUUAGUUAUAUGAAAAGGUUGGGCCAUAAUAUAGUUGAUCACUUGUAUUAUAAUCCUGAAAGAUGGAGCAAGCUUUACUUCAAUUUUAUCUCAAAAUGUGAUGUUGUAGACAAUAACAUGGUUGAAUGUUUCAAUUCAUGGAUAUUAGCAGCAAGGCAUAAGACUAUAAUUACAAUGCUUGAAGAAAUUAGGGUGAAAAUAAUAGGGUAGAUGAGAGAGUUUUGCAAUACUUGGAUCUGUGACAUUUCUCCAAUGGCAAUGAAAGUUCUACAAGAUAACACAGCUAAGUCUAUGAAAUGCAUCAUUGAAUGGAAUUCAGAUACAUGGUAUGAGGUACUUCAUGGACCAUACAGACAUGUUGUAGAUAUUCAAAGGCAAACAUGUAGUUGUAAAGCAUGGCUGUUGAAAUGCAUACCAUGUCUUCAUGCAAUAACUGGUCUUCACCAUAGAAAAUUGGACCCAAUUAACUACAUUUCUCAUUGGUAUAACAGAGAAACAUACAUGAAGACAUACAACUAUUUCAUUUAGCCAGUUAUGAAUCUGAAAAUAUUGCCAGAAUCACAAAACAUCUUUGUGAUACCACCUUAUGUUAGGAAGAUGCCAGGAAGGCUUGGCAAGAAAAGGAAGAAAGAGAAAGGUGAAACAAGUAAAACUGAAAAAUUAUCCAAAAGAGGGAUUGAGAUGUCAUGCAUCACUUGUAAUAACAAGGGUCACAAUAAAAGAAAGUGUCCCCUUGGUGCAUCUGCUUCUGGCACAAACUUUACUGCUGGACCAAGUUCAAGACCUGCUGCUGGACCAAGUUCACGACCUCCUUCUGGACCAAGUUCUAGCCCAAGAGCAACACCUGAUGCUGCACCAACAUCAACACAAACUGCUGGCCCAAGAGCAACACCUGUUGUUGCACCAACAUCAACACAAACUGUUGGCCCAAGAGCAACACCUAAUGCUCUAACUGGAAGCGAAAUGGGUAGACCAAAGGGUUCAACAAAAAAGGUGAUAUAGUUUCCUUUACUUACUUCAUAUAUAAGUUUUAAAUAAGUUGCUUUACUGAAUAUUUUAUUAUUUUUUUGGAUAGUGUUGCUAGCAGAACAAGAAUGGUUGGAAUGGGUGUACUACACACACAAAGUGGUGCUACUAUUAUUAAUGUAAGUUUCCUAUUUUUAUACUUAAAUAUUAUUUAUUUAUUUUUCUUUAAUCACAAAUUAAGAUUAUUUAUAUUCAUUUGAACAUCCUGAAAUGCCUAGUGAAAGAUUUAGAAAUGUGAAGUCUUCAGCAGUUGUCACUGGAGAUCUUGGGCAUAAACCAACAUGUGGUGUGAAAUGGAAGGGAAAACAAGCUAUGACCUCAAGCCAACUUGAAGAGAUGAGGGGAAGAAAACAAAAUGUAGACUAGGUCUAAGGCUGCACAUUUGAGCCAAGAGAGCUCUAAUGCAAUCUAACUUGUUUUGGUAGAUUUUUUUUGGUAAUGCAAUGUAGACAUUAUGUUUUGUUGGUUGAUACACAAUGCAAUGCACUUUAUUCCUAUUUAGUUCCCUUAUAUUUAAGACAAUGAAUCGGCAACUGUGACUGUAUUUUAAUUUGUGGUGUUUGAUUAUGUAACUGCUUUGACAACUACUAACUUCUAUUUUGAUUAAUGAUUAUGCAGUUAUGAAUGUCUGUUUAUGUAACAAUAUUGCUUUUCUUUUAGUUGAUGAUUUCUGUGUUUAUGGAGGGUAAUUAGUGACUACUUUAGCAGUGGCUACACAAACGUAUAGUUUAGACAAUUGAGCAGAUAGUUGUAGACACUAAAUGUAUAGUUUAUCCCCAAAUACAAAACCAAAUAUUCGCCAACAUAAAUGAGACAAAUUAAGAUAAGGGCAGCCUUGCAAAUUCUUCAUUACACAAACAAAUUCAACCAACAUCUUUUCAUUGCACAAAAGCCUUACAAGUUCAACACAAUGUUGCAAAAUUUUGGUAUAAGAAGAGAUCAUGGAAAUUUCCUUGAAUCUCCUUCUCCUUUUAGAAAUAAUACUCUUUGAAAUACUAAACUUACACCUAAAAUACAAACACACAACAGAGCAAUCCAAAGUUGUUUCUCCCUUUUCUUGGACUUGGGCAAUUUAUUUUUCCAUUUCUUUUCAACUGUUUUCAUCAUCUUCAAAUCAUCAUCAAAAUUGUCCAUUUUUGACUCUAUCUUGUUCAUACCUAUUUUGCUUUCCAUAGAUUUGGUCGACUUAGUAGGCUUGUUGAUUUCCUUAUCUGAAGUUUCAACUUUUCAAGAAGAUUCAACACUAUGUUCAAGCUCAUUAAUUCUUCCCAACACCUUGGGAAUCACAAAUUUGGAUCUUGGAUCAAUAUAAUCAUCCUUCCAAAGCCAAAAAUCGCAUGAUAUAGCAUUCUUAAAAAACAAAACGAAUCAUUCUGUGGCUCUUGAAAUAACAAAACGAAUCAUUCAACUCUUAAAAAAAAUUAACUUACCCCAUAGUAAGGACAACCCCAAUAUCUUAUACCAGGAUUUUUUGGGGUCCAAGAGGUCAGCAAAGGCAAAACAAAUCCAUGUUUGCAUCACACCUCUUCCAAUUCAUGAUCUUUCUCUUGCAAACAGAGCCUAGUCAAGCUUAUUCAAGACAUUGUAGCACCUUAAUAAGAAUUACAGCGAAUCAAACAACUAAAAAUGCAAAAAAAUUACGAAAUAGAUAGAAACAAAUCAAAAUGAAAAAGAGAGGAAUGAAUCAAAAUGAAAAGAGAUGAAUGAAUAAUAGUGAAAACAAGUUACCUUUGAUUCAAAAGAAGGAAUUUUGAACUAUGUUUGAAUUCAAUUUGGGCUUCAGAUUUUUGGGUGAAAAUUUAGGGUUCUUCUUCAUUAGGGUAAGAUGGGUGGGUUAUAAGAAGAGAAUGGGAAUAUAACCGUUGGGUUGGGCUCUUUUAUUAAAAAAAUAAAUAAAAAUGACUUUAUUAGCGUGUUGACGCGCUCAUUUAUGUGGAGCGAAACGCGCCCUGGAUUGGGUGACGGAAGGGGUAAAUAAAUACACUUUUGUGUACUUAAGGUGUGUAAUAGGUCUCUCCAUUAGUUAAAGUGUGUAAGUGACUUUUGGGUACAAGUUUAGGGGGAAAUUUAUGCCUUUUCCCUUCUUCUUUUUCACAUCUCUUCUUCUUCAUUCUUUAUACAUCACAAUCUCAAGGUACAACUUUUCCUUUUGAUUAGCAAUUAGGAUAAUUUUCAUAGAUUUGUUAGUGAAUAAUUGUAUUUUGUGAUAAUUUUAACUAAAGGAAGAAUCUAAAAAGAAUUUCGAUAAACCUAAAUAAAUAAAUCCUUAAGUUAUGUUUAGGUGAUUUUGGUUGAUUGUUUCAAUCUUUUCUAUUUUUUGACUUUGUUAAAGAAGUUUUGGUUGUUAAUCAAUUUUUGGGUUUAGUUGUAAUGACAAUUUUAUGGGUAUAUGGUGAUUCUAGGUAAUGGGUGAAAAAAAAGAGGAAAUUGAAAGUGGUGAAGAAGAUUAAUCAAUUUUUGAAUUUGGUGAGGAUGACAACUUUAUGAGUGUGGUGGUGCUAGGUAACGAUUUUGAAAAAAAAGAAUGAAAAUUGAAGAUGGUGAAGAAGAAAAAAUUAUAUUAGAAAUGGUGAUGGUGAUAUUUAGUGGUGGAUGACGAAGAAGAAGAAGAAUUGAAGGUGAUAUGACGGCGGUGAAGAACAAAGAAUCAAUAGUGAAUAAGGUAGCCGGAUUUUUCCGUGAGAUAAGAAAUGGAGUGGGUGAGAUUUUGUGAUGAAGAAGGUAUAAUUAUUAGAGAAUUUUAAUAAUUAAUUAGAGAUUAAUUAGUAUAAAAUAUUGUUAACAAAAGAAAAGUAAUUAAUAAAGAAAAGAAAACAAUUUUUUAAAAUAAAAAAUCAUAACUUCUGACAUGGCGCUGACGUAGCGCUAAUGUGGCGGCGAGUGUAUUACACCACACUGUAUUACACCACACCCUGUGAGAGUGGUGUUACACGUCUCAGGGUGGUAUUAAAAAUUCACUUUUGAAUAGUAAAGAUGUGUAAUAGGUCAUCAUGAUAGUUUAAGCGUGUAAAUGACUUUUCCAUAUAAAUUCAGGAGGAAUUUAUGCCUUUUCCCUUAUUAUAAUGAUGAAAUACAUCAUAUAAUGUUCCAUUGAUUUAUUGUAAUAGUGUCGUAGUCUUUUUUUCUUCUUCUUAUCUUGCGAUUACUAUUCGAUAAUCCUAUAUAUUUUAUUCAUUACCUUAUUUUAUCUUUAUUUUAUAAUUACUGUACUUCAAACUUUACUUUUUCUUUAUAAUAUUAUAAAUAUAUAAAUGUAUUUGUUUGCAACAAAUCUUAUUGAUAAAUCAAUAUGAGUACAAUUGUGUUCAUCUCUUCAUUAUUCUUUCAUAAAAUUUAUCUGUGAUUCGAGUCCCAUAAGAUUUAUCGUAUUUCUUUAACUAGAAUGAUUUGAUUUGACCAUGAAUAUUUCAUGAAUUUGCGAAAUAUUCGAAAUGCUUCUUAAAGGGAAUAUAAUAUCCUUUAUAUAUGCGUGAACAAGAGUUUAGGGUUAUGUACAGGGGCGGACCCACGUGUUGUCCAGGGGGUUCACCCGAACCCCCUUGAUAAAAAAUUACAUUGUAUAUAUAAGGUGAAUUUUCUGAAUUUAUGUGGAUAUAUAUAUUUUGAACCCCCUCAAUGACAAGGUGAAGGAGAUAGCCCAACGGCAGCUCCCUUCAAUAUAAAGCCUGACGUCCAGGGAUCGAAUCCUUGGGUUAGCCUUUUUUUUAGUUUUUUACUUUCAGUUUUUUUUUUUAAUUCCAAUUCCGAUUUUCAUGUUUUUUUUAAAAAUAAAAAGUGCUAAAAUGUGGUGUUAAACCCAAAAAAUUCAAGGGUCCCAUACUCCCAUUCCUAAAAGCUAAUAACUUUUUCACUUUUCAAAUCCCUAAAUCACUUUCUUGUUCUUCCCCAACACUCAAAACUCAAAUAUUAAAAUCAUCUCCCAUAAUAUUCUAUUGUUGAUUUGACAUAUUUUAAAGGGCUAACUUUUUGUUUCACUGUAAUCACUUAUGUUAGUUUCGGAUUUUUUGUAACGAAACUAACUUUUUGUACCUAUAAACUAUACACUACUACUUUCUUGAUUUUUUUUUUUGUUGGCUUAUUUACACAUUUAUACUUUUAUUUUUCGAAUCCCCUGAACAAAAAUCCUGGGUCCGCCACCGGUUAUGUAGCCUCUAAUUGAAAUUGAACACACCUUGUAAAGUCUCAACUCGAAUUAAACACAUUUAGUAGAGUUCAAAAAAAUUCAAUGUCUAUAGUAUUCUUUAGAUUGAUGAUGCAUGAUAUUACUAUAUAAGAAAAGCAUCAAUUGAAAAAUGAUAAUAGGUAAAUUUUGAAAAUUAUUUUUUCUCGUUUUAUUAGAAAAAACAUUUUCCAAAUAAUAUUUUUAAAAAUAUUCUAUAAAAUGCCUCUGAUGGCUUUCAAUCUUCUUAUUUGGACAGCCACGUGGUUAUUACGUGAUUUUUAAGGUCUUUCUUCCUUGGCUGGCUUUUUAAUACCAAAAAUGAAUUGGUGCCAACUGCCAAGUGGCUCAUAAAGUCAAAUACACUUCCUAAUUAUUUUUUAAAAAAUCUUAAUUAAAAAGGUUAAUAAUAAUGGAGAAACUAAUUGUUCAAUGCAAAAGACAAUAAGAACAUAUUUGCCGAAAAGGUCAAAAGAGUUUUGGGUUUCUAUUAGUUGAACUUUUCAAAUUAAUUGUUACGUGAUCCUACUUCAAGUCCUAAUUAUUUAUAUUAAAAUCCCUUAUUUCUCUCCUAAGGGAUUGUAAUUUCAUAUUAAAACUAUGUGAUUCCUAAAAUUUAUAUUAUUAUUUAUCUGUAAUUUUUUCGGUAUAUACUUCUAAUAAAAUACAAUUCUCAAGAUUUUAAAAUAUUAGCUAAACAAACUAAUCCUUUUUAUCCAUUUUAAAUAUCAUGCUUAUUAAAAAUAGGUAGUCUAAAUUUUAUUUUUUUUAUAUUUAAAAAAUUUAGAUAUAAUUAAUCAUUUAUUUUCACCUUUACUCUCUCUUAAUAUUAAACUAUAAGUGUGUGGAGAAAAACAAAAGUUAAUUUUCAGAAGCUAAAACAAGUAGCAUUUGCCUGAAAACACUUUUUAAGAAAUAUUUUAGAGAAAAAAUACACUUACAAUUACUUUUUACAAGUUUGGCGAAACAUUAAUUGUUAAGUUCAAAAGUGUUUGUAAAUUUGGCCAAACACGGAGUAUUUUCUAACCAAAUACAUAUAUUUUUGUUUCGAAAAUAAAUUGAUUUUAGAAGUUUGACUAAAUAUGUUAUAAAUAUGCAGAGAAAUUAAUGUGUUUGAAAAUAAGAGUCGUAUUAAAUUGAAAUUAACGAAUAAUAAGAUUAAUUUUUUAACUAUACGAUUAAUAAUGAAGUAAUAUAAUACUCGUAACGACUGAGCCCUGAUGUGCAUCUGAAGCCGCGUAGAGAAUAAUUGUUCUACUAUGAUUAAUUAAACAAAAUAACAAAAAAAGAAAAGAAAAAGAUACAAGUUUGAAAUUGGAACAAUGUGAACAGAACAAGUGGCCCAACUCAUAACACAAAUUUGGGAUUUUAGCAGCCUGGUUGGUCAGGUCUUUCAUGGUGGUUAACCAUCAUCUCACGAUCAGCAAAUCUUCAAUUAAUCUCCAUUUUCAAGUCAGUGUGGCCCUCCAUCAUCAUCGUCAUCAUUCUACUGAAUCCAUAUUAAAACGAAGCUUCCGAAAACAACCACGAAUUUAGGGGAGACCGAGCUGCCAUUCCUUGAUGACUUCUUAUCAAUUUCUCAGAUCUCCCCUUCAUAAACCCAUACAUACAUCUACUACUCCUUUUCUAGCCGCUCGAAGAUCUGUAUAUAGUUGAUUGGUUUUGUUCCGAAUCGGUAUCCAAUUACUAGCUUCAGUUUGCUGGCUCUUUUGUCUUUUUUGAGGUGAUAAUUGAGAUUUUGUUUUCGACUCUAUUUGGCGGGAAAUUGGAUUUGUCCUCAUCUUACAUUUUGGAAUUUUGAAUUCAAACAGGUCAUUAUCCUGAUCCCUUUAUAAGGAUUUCGUAUUAUUAUACCUGAAGAAGUAAGGAAGAGGAUGGUGAUUUCGGAUAAUACCAGAGGGUUAAUUCUGGCAAUAUCAUCAAGCUUGUUUAUUGGAACGAGCUUUAUAUUGAAGAAGAAAGGUCUAAAGCGUGCUGCUGAUGCUGGCACUCGAGCAGGUUUGUUGAUCUUUAAUCUCAAUUGAAUUGCAAAUCAGCAUAUUUGACUUAUCCUUUUCUAAUUGUUAAAUAGAAGCCUUGUUCACAAUGUAAAUUGUUCAGAGUUAAAGAGAGUUUUGUCUAACUUUACAUCGAAGCUAAAGUGUUACUAUAGAACUUUUGCUUGCAUUUUAUUAUUUGGUUUACUUACCGGAACGGAUAACAUUCGAGAUCAUGCAGGAUUAUACACAAAAGAUUCUGUUUAUUAUCUCAGUUAUUGUUGUUAAGGGCUUAUUAAGAAAUUUCAAUCUUUUAGGAAACUUGGAUGUCUACAAUCUGGUAUCUAGACAGUGGUCUCGGGUUCAGUUUUAGGAGUCAAUUUGACACAGGUUAUAUUGAGAAAUUUAUUGGAUUGCCAAUUUCAAGUUAUUGCAUCUUAAGAUCUGCCUAGGAUUUGAUAGACAUUCUAAUUGAAGAUUAGUUUGGAAAAUUUUCCAUGGAGAUCAUAUUGAUAAGUUAGGAAGCUGUUCACAUACAAAAAUUAUUCUGUGAAGCCCUUACAGAUGCGUUGUUGCAAACUAAAGACUAUCAACUUGUUAGUCAUGAGCAAGAUGAAGAGGCAAAGAUAUAUAUGGUGGGGGUUCCAUAUUUCAAUAUAGUUUCUAUAGUAUAUGUAAUGAUCAUAUGGAAAUUUUAAAAAAUGUUAGUAUGUAAACUUAUGGUUUGUCCAUGUUCUGUGAAGUGUUUUCUUAGAUAUCCGUGUGGAAGUACCCUCAAGGGCGGCCGGUUUACCUCUCUUGUGUGGUUUGCGAGUUAUUAUAAUUGAGUCGGGUAAUGGUUGCAGGCUCUCUUGUCAUCAAAAAAGGAUAACCGUGUGGAAGUUUAGAUAUAUGUUUGAAGUUGUGGAGAAUUAUUAAUACCUUUGAUGGUUUUAUGGACUCUUAUUAUGCCAGAGAUUUUGAUAAAAAGGAUCACUCACAGGCUAUAAAUUUUGUAUUGGUGGUUGUGUUGGUUGCUGGAAGGUGCCAUUACAACAUCUUGUAACAUUAUCUAUUAUGUGGCUAUAUAUAUGGCUAUGGCUGAGGCGAUUAAAGAAGUUUUGAGGUUAAAGGGUUUGUUUGACCAGCUUAGUCCAUGUCGGGUGUAAUUACUAUUUAUUUUCAUUGAGUUGGUAUCAGUUAGAAAUAUGAAAUACUUCAGGGUCUUCUGCUUUGUUUUUAAGAAAUUGCUGUUGAAAUUUCUUCUGUUCUCUUGAUAUAUCAAUUCUAUUCAUUUUUUAAAUUAAAACUGCAAUGUUUUAUUUGCUUAUUUUCAGUUGUUCUGAAGUCUUUUAGUGCCACAUUAUCAUUGUCUAAUUUAUGAUUCAUGACUCUAAACUAAUUAAAAUCUGUAAUACAAGAUCAUUUUGUCCAUCACAUACUGUGCCAACUUCUGGUCGCUCACUUAAACAGUUAUUCUGAUAUUUACUGCAGGAGUUGGAGGCUAUGCGUAUUUGCUUGAACCACUUUGGUGGACAGGCAUGAUAUCAAGUGAGUAAAUCAUGAAUUGUCUCAAUGCCUUAACCCACUUUUCGGAUAAUGAAUGUAUUGGUAUUGUGUGGUUUGGAUUUUGAUGAAAAUUUUGGAUUUGGAUUAUGUAGUGAUCGUUGGGGAGGUGGCCAAUUUUGUGGCUUAUAUUUAUGCUCCAGCAGUUCUGGUGACCCCUCUUGGUGUUUUGAGUAUAAUUAUCAGGUAUGAUUUUUGAACUUUAUGAACUGUUUGUACGCUCUAAUAAUGAAACAUGAGUGGUGUUGACAAAACUUAGCUUGGUGAAUUUUUGAAUAGUGCUAUUUUGGCGCACUUUCUGUUGAAAGAACGAUUGCAAAGAUUGGGUGUACUGGGAUGCAUUUCGUGCAUCAUGGGCUCAGUGGUUAUUGUUAUCCAUGCACCUCAGGAGAAUAUGCCAGCUUCUUUAGAAGAAAUCUGGAUUUUGGCAACUCAACCAGGUUUGAAUUUUGUGUCUUUAGCAUAAAUGUUUUUCUGUUUACCAUAGGUCAUCGCACUUAUAGAAGUAAUUACUUAUUUCUUCAUUACUGCCUCUGUCUGCAGCAUUUUUGGCUUAUGUAGCUGCAACUUUAUCGGUGGUGCUAGCUUUGAUUUUGCAUUUUGAGCCUCGCUAUGGGCAGACAAAUAUACUGGUUUAUUUGGGAAUCUGUUCCUUAAUGGGUUCAUUCACGGUAAUUUGUUUUCUUUUAAGCUACCAUUCUUAGCUGCAAUGUGGACACAACUGUUUCUGUAUGUGGUGCGGUUUGCAUAUAUCAACAGUUUGCUACCUUGUCCAGAGAUUGGUUGCUGUAGUUUUUUCAUGGUUCUUUGCAGAUUGUCAGCAUAAAGGCUAUUGGAAUUGCAAUAAAACUUACUUUGGAAGGAAUAAGUCAAGUUGCUUAUCCUCCGACAUGGUUUUUUCUUUCUGUUGCAGUGAUAUGCGUCAUCACACAGCUAAAUUACCUUAAUAAGGUAAUACUUUAUCUAUAGAGUAGAAUGGAUAAAGGGGAUUUGAGAAGCCGACCCCAACUAAUUUGUGAUUGAUUUGUUCUGAAUUGAUGUAUUCUUAUCAACCUAUCAAGCCUUUGCUUGCCCAUAUCCGAGAGUAGUUUAGAUCAUACAUCUAUGAUCUAUGUGCAUAUUUUCUAUCAUUCAUUUAGAUUUAGAUAUUAAAGUAAUUAUUCUUCUUUAUGCACUCCUUCUAUUGGUGCUAAUUUUAUCAUAGUGUGUCUCGGUAUUUGUCAGAAAGAUAAAGUGUAAGGUUGAUAAUGAGAAUUGAUACCUACUAUGCUAGAACGUUCUUCAGAACUGCAGACUUUGUUUAUGUUUCUUUCAGGUUUUUGUAAUUUGGAAAUAUAAUUCAGCUUAAGAUUUAUUUUUGAUGAACGUCAUUAGAUGCCCAUGAAUAGUUUAAUGUCCACCUUGCACAGUCCUCUAGGAAUGCCUUUUCUCAUCCUAUGUUGAGAAACAGGGUAUCACAGUUCAGUUCCUUGAGUCACUUGUUGGUCUUUCUUAAAAGCUUAAUGAUUGAGCAGCAUAACUUUGGAUAUCUCAAACAAGUAGUUCCGUUUUCUAAUAUAGCACAAUAUUCUGGUCUAUUGUCGUGUUAAAUUUUCCUAAUUAGCUGAUUGGGGGAUGCAUAAUUGAUUGAACAACCUUUUGACUGCUGCUGGACGACUAAAAAAUUAGUUGGUUUGAAAUGUGUACUAUUAACAUGAGAUGUGUAAUUUUGUUUUGGAGUUUAUGACAUGCAUGAUUGUUAUGGGUCAUUCAAGGUGGUACCCUUUGGGGAGUUUAAAAACAUUUCUGAUAUCUAUACAUCCUUUGAUAGGCACUGGAUACAUUCAACACUGCAAUUGUUUCUCCAAUAUAUUAUGUAAUGUUCACCACAAUGACCAUCAUCGCAAGUGCAAUAAUGUUCAAGGUAUUCUGUCAAUUGAAGCUCUUCUUCGUUAUGGUCCUCUAUGAAUAUGGUACAGGGUAUUAUGAAUAGUCAUCUCACUUUGCAGGACUGGGCAGGACAAAGUGCCAGCGACAUAAUUUCUGCGAUAUGUGGAUUUAUAACUGUACUUUCAGGAACAGUCAUGCUCCAUGUCACUAGAGAGCAGGACCCAGUUCCUUUGCCAGGUAUGGAUUAGACUAAAGUUUACUGGAAGUUCUUAUCCUCACAUAUUAUAUAUGUUCAUUCUAGAUACAGUGCUACCUUGCCUAUUAUCUACAACAAGGAUGUCAUCACAUCUUUCUGUUGCACUCCUUUAAAAAACAGAUGUUGAACUAGGCGUGAUUACUGCUACUUCUGCGUUCCUUUGUAGUUUGGUGCAUCAUCACCAAGGGAGAAUAUAUUUUACAGUGUCAUAUUAUUUGAUUUAUUGACAUACUCGCUAGCUAUUCCAUUUGGGAUGAUCGCCAAGCCUCUUGAACACAUUUUUGACAGACGCAUACAUGUGUACUUUGUUAAAUUAGGUCUUAGGCCUAACUCACACCCCAAAAGCUAGCUCAAAGGGAGGAGGAUUGCCCAAGCCUUAUAAGGAGUCCACCCAUCUCAUUAACCACCGAUGUGGGACUUUUGUCAUUCUUUAACACCCCACCUCACGCCCAGUGCUUAGCAUCUGGUGCGUGGGCAAUUUUUAUUUUGGGGGUCCCAACAUCGGGUGAGACGGGCCCUGCUCUGAUACCAUGUUAAAUUAGGUCUUAGGCCUAACUCACACCCCAAAAGCUAGCUCAAAGGGAGGAGGAUUGCCCAAGCCUUAUAAGGAGUCCACCCAUCUCAUUAACCACCGAUGUGGGACUUUUGUCAUUCUUUAACAUACUUCUGAUGUUAUAUCACCAUAGUAGAAGUUGAAAUAUGAGAAUGAACUUUUCGUAUCUAGACAUGCAUCUCUGCUAGCACUGCUAUUUUUCUACUUCUAAUAUUAAAUUGGUAUAUGCAGGAACUGUAACAUGGUACGAUGGGGAACAAAUAAAGGCUAUAGAGGAUGGACAUUACAUCCUGUUGCAUGAUUCAGAAUACUUAGACUCAUAUAGUGUCUCGACGAAGAAUUAGAGUGGUUGAUUGCAGAACUGGAAGUUCUAUCACAGCCCAUUCUUGAUUUGUGCAGUAGAGGAAAUGAGGUUCUCGAGUUCUCAUUUAAGCUGAUUAAUCUUGAGCUUCACAACUGCUUGGCAAUUUCUUCCUAUGUGCAUAAGGCUAGAGGGAGAGGUUUUGAUUUUUCAAGAUUUCUUGAGCAACAUGGGGAUACAUCUGGACAUGGUUUUCUUGCAAAUCUCUAAUUGUCUAAUUGCAGUCGGGGUUUGUACAUAUAUGGCUUCUUUCUAGUGUAAUUAUUCAUUAUUUUUUCAUAAUGAGAUAUAGCAUAUGUUUUUUCUGAAGGAUGAUAAGUGGUCUUCUUGCUGUUGGUAUGUUUGUUUAGAUAUUAAGUCAAAUUUUAGUGAAACUCAAUCAUUUGACACCCAUACACAAGAUCAAAAUAGAAAUUUGGAGCACGGGGUAAUAUAACGGGAUAAUGAAAGAUCGAGUUUGAAUUAAUCAAAAUCACAUAAUCCCCUUUAACUUUACAAGAGAAGCAACAUCAAUUGAUUAUGAGAUACGUAUUGAAAACACUCAUAAACUUGAUGUGAAUUAUUACUUUAGUCCUUCAACUAUUGAUAGUCUUAAAAACACUCCUCUACUUGAUUAAGUAAUUUAAGAACACCCCUCUUAUGCCACAUGUCAUUCGCCUAUGCGUAUAUGUGGAAUUUUUUACUGAUGUGACGUACACAUAGAUAUAUAUAGUAAAAUAAAAAAAACAUUCAAUAAUUAAAUGCUAAAAUUUAAUAAUGAAGAUUUUUUUUUUAAAAAAUAAUUUUUUUUUCUUACCUUACCCCAUCCCCUACCCAGGUACCCCCACCCCCUCACCCCUCAAAAUUUUUAAAAAGUUUUUCUCCGACUCCCUUCCCCCCCAAAAAAAAGUACGCUUAAAAUAAAAUAUUUUUUUUUCUUAUCCUACCCCUCUCCCCUCCAAAAAAAAAAAAAAGGUUUAGAAUAAUUUUUGUUUUUUGGGGUGCGUGGGUAGUGGGUGUAAAGCUAGGGGUACUGGGUAGAUGAUGGGGUGGGGUGAUAAAAAAAAUGAAGUUCUUUUAUCUUCUUAAAUUGCUAAAUUCCUAACAUUUAAUUAUUUAAAUGUUCUUUAAAUAUUUUUUCUAUUACACCUACUUAUGUGUACGCCCCACGUCAGUAGAAAAUUUUACAUAUAUAUACAUGUGGCAUAAGCGGGGUGUUUUUAAAUUCACUUAAUCAACUAGAUGAGUGUUUUAAGACUGUCAAUAGUUGGGGGACUAAAGUAAUAAUUCACGUCAAGUUUAGAAGUGUUUUCAAUACUUAUUUCAUUGAUUAUUUGAAUAAUCACUAAGACUUGUUUUAUGAUGACUCUUGAUCUACAAUCUAAGUGCGACUUGGUUAGUAUAUCAGGACAAUUCAUUAUUUUAUUAAUUGACUAAUUUAGCUUAACGAUCUUUCAAACUUGUAUUAGACUACAUUUUUGAGAUCCGUCAAUCGAUUAAUUAUGAAUUGAUUACCUUGAAAUAGCAUUAGCGGAAUGCUUGUAUUCUUUUCCCUUUUGCGUCGUACUGCCAUUCCGACUAAAUUCAUUAAGGGUGUAUUUGAUAUAAAGAAAAUUAUUUUUCAAUUAUUCCAUGAUUGAUUGGUCAAAUUUUUUUGAGAAAUAUUAUUUCUAGGAAAACAAGUUUCCUAGAUAGAGAAGUUUGAUUUUAGUCUAGAAUUAACUACACUAGCUUCAUUUUUACCCUCAUAUUAUUUGCCUAAAUUACAUAGAAAUGUUGCCUUUAGUUUAAAGAACAUUAAUUUAAAAGACAAACCAAUUUUCUAGAAAAUUUAUAAAUCUCUCUAAACAGAAAAUGUUAUACGUAGUGGGGAAUGAUGAUCGUGCAGAUCACAACAAGGAUACCAACAUUGUUAAUAAGCCAGCUAAAAGGCAUAUAAUAAUUAAAUAAAAGAGUAAUUCUGGUGUGUCAAAGAAUAAUAUCCUCUAAAUUACAAACAAAUAAAUAUAAGAAUGGUUAACAUAAUAUCUCAAAUCACAACAAAGAUGUAUAUGCAUGAUUAAGAUAAAUGUGGAGAAAGAUUCCUAAAAUAGUAUAUCCUUAAAAAUAAUACUUAAGCUAUUGAGGAUUAUGGCAGCUAAGUUGGUGAGCUCCCAUCUUCCUCUAUUUAGGUACAAGGUUUGAAUUCUCCAAAAAAUACAACGAUGACUUCGUUUUCGGGUCUUGUACACACCGUUCAUCACACGAUGAGAGCUGAUCAUGCCCGAAGUCGUUAUCUUAACCGCAAGGCGGGGAUACAGAAGGCAGGACUAAUAACUAGAGUGAAGUCGUAACAAGAUAGCCAUACAGGAAGGUGCGGGUGGACCACCUCCUUUUCAGAGAGAGCUAAUGCUUGUUAGAUAUUUUGAUUUGACACUGCUUCAUACCCCAAAAAGAAGAAGGGAGAUACGUCUUACAUUCACUUCUCUUCGUAAAAAAUAAUUUUAAAAAAAUUGUAGUGUAUGAUAUUCUUCAUGCAAUAUUUACUUUUAUAUCCUUGAUUUAUUAGUUCUUCUAUUUUAUUGAUUGGACUUGAGAAAGAAACUAAUAAAUACAAUCCAACACUCUCAUGUUUUCAAUCGGAUUUAGAUGAUUUUUUACAAAAGCAUAUAUAUUGUUAGGGUAGGUAGAUAAUUAAAUUGAACACAAAUGCUAACAACCCCCCUUUGUCAAACAUGUAAACCACACCAGCCGUUCCCUUUUAGAAAUCGCCUGAUAACUAUCGCCCAUGUACGAUCCAUACUAGAUCUGACCAACUACACUCUUAUGUUUUCAAUCGGAUUUUAGAUGAUUUUAUUACAAAAGCAUAUAUAUUGUUGGGGUAGGUAGAUAGUUAAAUUGAACACAAUCGCUAACAACCCCUCUUUGUCAAACAUGUAAACCACAUCAGACGUUCCCUUUUACCAAUCGCCCCACAACUAUUGUCCAUGUACCUCCUUUGUCAAACAUGUAAACCACACCAGACAUACCCUUUUACCAAUCACCCCACAACUAUCGUCCAUGUACGAUCUAUACUAGAUCUAACCAACUACCCAUCCAAAUACCUGUACAAUAAAAAAAUAAGAGCAAUUCAAAGAGAAUCUAGGUUCAUAAUUAUAAUGAGUUUAAUAUUUUAGUUCUUUCCUGGCCCUUUUGAUUCUAUUUUAUUAUCUUCCAUAUUUUCAUUGUUAAUUAAAUUUGCAAUUGAAAGAGAAUCAACGAGAAAUCUGCUUGUGGUUGUUGGCCAUUAACCCUCCUAUGUACGUCUAUAUAUAUAUAUAUACAAAAAUUAAAAGUAAAUAGCGGGGGUUUUAUCUGAAAAGAGAAAAAUCUAAAUAAAUAGCGGGGGUUUUAAACCCCAUCUAAAAAUAUAAUUUUUUAUACAAAAUAUAUAAUACAACAUCAAUAUUUUUAUACUGUAUUUUUAGUUCAUGAAAUACAAAAUACAUUUUUGAAAACUUCACUUGCUAUUUGAAAUUACUCUCAGUCCUCACUUCUACUCUUCUCUCACAACUACACUUCUCUACACUGCCAUUUCUCUGCCACUUCAGCUACCUCACAACUCUGCAAACUUCUGGUGAGUUAACCAGAUUCAGAAUUGAGAUAGGCGUUCUAAGAUAAUAUUUUCCACUUUUCACCUCUUUGGAAAAUGAACCUACCUCACCUCUUUGGAUAUUCUCAUCUGAAUCGCCAGAGAUUUUGUUUAAUAAGGAUGUAGUAGUGGAGGUAGAAUUAGUAGAGGCAACAAAUUAUUGAGUCUUUUUCCUAGAUAUCUUGCACCUUUUCAACUCCAUUGAUUGUUAAAUGAAUCAGUUAUUACUUGAUUCUUUUUUUUGUUUUCCAUUCAUGGACUUAAUAUGAUAUUUGUGUACAAGUCAAAGUCAUACAAGCUUCUAGGUUGUAGUUAACCACAUUACAGUCUGCCUCUUAUUCAGUUGUAUGGUGUUUCGUAUAUUCAAGAAGAGAUAAACGCAUUACGAUUUAAUUCAUGUCUAAACUAAUUAAAAUAUUUUCAUUGUGCUUGGGAACGAUAUCUAGUGGCAGUGAGGAGGUUAGAGGAAGGUGGGAAACAGAGAUAUAAGGAGUUUGUAGCUGAGAUUUAGGAAAUUGAAAAGGUUAAGCAUCUAAUGUUGCGAGGUUAAAAAGCUUAUUAUUAGGCUCUUGAUGAGAAGCUUCUGAUUAGUGAUUUCAUUUCUAAUGGCAACUUGGCUUCUACUCUUCACGUGAGCUUUUCAUUAUAGUAAAAUACCUUCACUUUUGUUUGUCUAGUAGAUAUUAACUGUUGAAAGAAUCAUUAACGCAUUCAUAUUUUAGACACUUGGGGUAUACUAUAUUCUUACCAUAAGUAGCAUUAUACACUGAUGGAUGUUUUGUACUUUUCAAAUUGAUGUGUGCAAAGUGUAAUUCGCACUACUAAAAAAUUGUCAAUAAACGACGGUCAAAAGCGACGGACUGCGUCGUUUUUUUGGUCAAAAUCGACGGAAAAACGAUGCAGUCACCUCCGUCGCUUUUUAACCCGACGCUUUUUAAAAAGCAACGAACUGCGUCACUUUUUUACUUUUUAUUUUUUAACAAAAGCGACGGACUCCGUCGUUUUAUUUUUAUUUUCAUUUUUUUAAAUUUCUAAAAGGCGACAUAGUCCGUCGCUUUUGUGGAAAUUUUAUUUUUGAAAAUCCCAUAAAAGCAACGGACUAAACCACGCUGUCCAUCGCUUUUCUAGGUUUUUAAAACCCAGAAAAGCGAUGGACUAAACCACACUGUCCGUUGCUUUUUCUGCAAUAUAUUUGACAGUAGCAGCUCGCAGCUUCUGCUGCCCACCUGCAAAUGCAAUUCAAUUCAAUUCUACACUAUUCAGCUCAAUCAAACACACACAAUUAUAAACAAUCUAAACAAAACAUAAAACAACAAACUUAAAAUAACAUUCAAAAGUAUCUAAAUCAUAAAUUAAAGACUUAUAAAGUCUUUUAAAAUUCGUUUCAAAAUUUCAAAAAGUUCAUAAAUGUCUAGAGAUCUAAACUAGGGAGUGAGAUCUACAUAAUCAUCCUCAUCACUCUCGUCGGCGGUGUCAUCGGGAGCCGAAGUAGUAGGUCGACGAGCGAGG
rnacentral:lncRNA from 1 species